rnacentral:lncRNA from 1 species
CCUCCAUUGAUCUACCAGGAGUUGGUUUAUAGGUUUCGAUCUCAUCAUAUUUCCGUAAUUUUAUUUAGAGUCUUUGUUGCACAUCGAACAUAUGCCGUGUUCCCGGUCAGUGUCUCGGUUUGUUGUCUUCGCCGUUGUUGUGGUCGUGUUGUCGCUCUUGUUGUAAUAUGGCUAUGGGAAACUGGAGUUUGUUGUAUGUACUCUACUUAAUCGGAAGAUUGUUGUGAAACUCAUUUCAUCAAUGAAACUCUGAACUCUUCAGACUACUACCUGUCUAUACAUGAUGUUUGGUAUAUAUAUGCUUCUCCCUUAAUUCUGGCUCCUAGCUAGUAUUUCACUUAUGUAAGAUAUUCUGCCGUGAAUUCAACUUGAGAUUUGAGAUUCAUAUAAAGUGCUGAAAUAAUAUUUUGAAGUAUUAGAUGAUGCUACGGAAUAUGUUAUGUGUGUUCAGGUAUACAGCAACUAGCACCCAUUGUAUGUUGUCUCUAGGUGACCCUUGAUCACUUCUUGGUAUGUUUCCAAGUCAUUGCUCAGCUGAAUGUUUGGUUUGUGUACGGAAUAUAUUCAUUACUCUCUUCAUCUCUUGCUAUAUUCUCAGGGGGGAAAAUGACUUGCAAUACUAAUCAGGUGACCUCAGCUCAGUGGAAAUGGUUGCAAGAUGCAUCUUACACCGACUUUGUUCACUUAUUCCAAUAUAUACUCUCUUUCGACAAUACAAGAGUAUGAAUUGGACUCACAACCAGUGUAAGAAAACUCACUUUCUACAAUACAAGAGCAUGAAUUGGCCACACAAUUGGAAUAAAAAAAACACUUUCUACAAUACUUGCUUCAGAAUCUUAGAUGACGUGGUAAUCACUGACUGUGCACCUUCUCUUCUCAGGGAAACCCUUUUUGGAGAUUAGUGAGGGACAUAUUAAAGACAUCAGGGAAAGAGCAAGUUCAGCAUUGCUCUUUUCAGUAAUCAGGGACAUACUAAAGACAUCAGGGAAAGCUCCAAAACUAAUAUUGCUAGACGCUGAUGAAAUGAAAGAACCAUAUGAUUUGGGCGGUAUGAUAUGUUUUCUUCAGUAAUAAUAAGCAGGCGUGUUACGUCGUAUUCUCUGGAAUGUCUGAAUUGUGAUUUCACUUAAUAGCUGACACCAAUGCCACCAGCAAUAAGCACCAAAUGCUGCUGCAUCAAAUCAGCAUUGUAUGGGCUGAUAUAUAAAGUAUAACCCCGUGUAAUAUUAACGAAUGUCGCAUUCCUUGCUUUUUCUGUAACGAACUUGAUUUCUUCCCAUGGGAGUUUCUUAGCCUUUUAGCUUAAUGUGUAGCCACUAUUUAUGUGCACAUGUCCACUCUCAACGCUGUUUUUGUGGUAGAGGUGAUGGGAUCAAAUGAGUCGCCAUUUGUGAACUGCGGGCCACCUGUUGCAUGUAAGCUCCACAAUAUGUCGAAUCAGAACCAAGAUCUCUAACUAGAAACCAAUUUACUGAAUUAAAACCAUUUUUGUUUACUGGUGUUGUCUUUUGCAGCCUGUGAUACUUCCAAUUCAGAUCAUAAGAAUCAGUCAGCUGGUCAUCCUGAGUGUUCCUGCAGGUAUAUCCCAAUUCGUCAAUCCUAGGAUGGCGGUUUUUCUCUCUCUCGAGAUGUGCUACAGCAUGCCAUGCUCCUGUUAUCCAAUGUUUGAGCUGGCAAGCAUGUGCUCAGAAACAAUAAGCGCCAGUACUCUUCAAUUAUUUUUGUGUGUGUUAUGUUUUGUCACAGAAUUGAGCAAUGAUGUUGGUUUUUACUGAUCAGUGGCAGCAAUGGUGAAUUUAAUACCAACAUUCAUGUUGUUCUUGCAAGGCUUACAAACACAUAUUAGUACUCCCUCCGUCCCAUAAUGUAAGACGUUUUUUGACACUAUACUAGAGUAAAAAAACGAGGGAGUAUGUUACAACAUUCGGAGAAUACCAGGUUCAAAAAUAUGAGGUAUGGCAGUAUGGGAGCUUUGCUUUGGUAUACCCCCUUAUUUUUAAAAUAAAUAAAUAAGCGAAGUACUCUUGGCCUCUGCAUCAAGUGAACGCACGUAGUCCAUAUGUCCCUGAAGGGCAGUACCGUGAAUGCUAUGUUCUGUUCGGCCUGUCCAAGGUGCGACCUUCUGACUAACGGUACCUUCGCGCUUGUUGAGAGGCUAAACGGUAAUGAUUGGAUCCCUGUCUAUGACGAUGACGAUUGGUCCUUGCGAUUCAAGUGGUCGAGGCCUUCGAAAUUCAGUCUAGAGAGUUUUGCGACACCAAAGUGGACCAUUCCUGAAGAUGCUGCCUCUGGUGUUUAUAGGCUGAGGCAUUUUGGUGCCUCCAAGCCGCUGAUAUGGUCGAUCAAGCAUUUUACAGGUAGCUCUCGCGCGUUUGCAGUAGUUAAGCAAUUCACAACUUGCGACGCUGUCGUAUGAAACUGCUGCUCUUAAUGCUUUUGUUACAAGGAAAUAUAUGGCGUGUACAUUAGGGAAAAUACAUCUCACUAUCGCGUGCAUGUUCAUACCCCCUCCGUUCCAAAAUAGAUGACCCAACUUUGUGGUCAUCUAUUUUGGAACGGAGGGAGUAUUAUACUAUCAUGUGGAUAUAUUCAGUGUUUUGCAAUAGCGGACAUAAAUUAUCCAUGGUUGACCACUGUUCUCAUCAUGCGAGGUUUACCGCCUUUAAGCAUUUUUUAAGUUGUGGAUGAUAAGUUGCAUAGAUAGUCAUCCUACAUGCCAACAUUGUAUUGAAGUGAAGGAGAGUCAUUAGAAUAUGAAACUUGAGCGACAAAUCAAGCAAACCCUUAUAACUGGACCUACAAAAUCUGGACCUCACAAGCAUGUUGAACUUAUCCCUGAACUAAAUAGACAUUAUUCAUCUAAGUUGCAUAUAAAAUCACCAUAGAAAAAUUAAGAGAACUAGUAAACCCAUAGCAUCAACUUGUUGGCAGGAUUUACCUUACGAACAAAAUUUUGAUGUCAGGACAUGAAUUUAUGAAACAAACAACUGCAAAUGCUAGGUUUGCUCACCAUGAAAUCCCGAAUAGAAAACAGUAUCAAAACCUGAACAGAAAAAAUCAUAGCUGGCUUCAGGAUUUAGCUUGCCACCGUACUCUGACGUCGAAGCCUACUCGUGUGCUCCGCCCACCAUAUAACCACACGCAGCUGUGUUGAGGCCGGCCGGCGCUUGCUGAUGCCACCCGUCGAGCCGGCCGCAGGCUCCCAAUUAGCUUCUAAACCUUUGGGUAAAAGGAAACGGUCUUAGAAAUUGUCCAUGUAUUUGUAUGAGCACACAACUAGUAAAGACUCCUUAAUCUGAAUCGGGUUAUUCAUUCUCUGUAAAUGGCUUAACAAACUCCAAAAUACAACACUCGCCUUGUCCUGUUCUUAUGCAACUAACCCAAUUAAUGUUUGCUAACAGGAAAAAUUGUUGUGCCUUGUACAGAAUCUUUGAUUUGUUGCAACUUCCGAAGACACUAGUUGUGAAUUCCAAUCAGGUAACUGCAUAGUCCAGCUAGCAGCAGCUAUGCUUGAUUGUACAAUCUUCGAACCAAACUAAUUUCCUGGCACGCAUGACCAUCCUCCUGAAGUGACUGAUGCAAGCAACUUUGAUAUAACAAACUGAAGAGCAGUCAAACCCCAAUCCUAACCAAUCAGAACAAUAAUGUUCUCGCCGGCGCACCAUUCCCUCGUCUGCAAGUCCCUUGCAUACAUAUUCUUCUGCUCCUAGAUUCUUGGCAGGAUUCCAAUUCCUCGUUUGCCUAGUAAAUUCAUAAAACAUAGAGUUAGCAUCAUCGAUAAAAUUUCAUCUUAAGAAUAGCACAGAACAAAAAACCUCGUAAAGUGAAUAUUCUUUAAUUGAAGAAAUAUUGCUUGUAUGUAUAUAUGUGGAAAUUUCAAUUACUCGGUACAGGUUGAUUCUUUAUGUACAUCGUUACUAACAUCCAAUUAAGAGAAUUAACACAAAAUUAAGAGAAUCAACCUGUACCUAGCUGAAAGUGCUAAUUCUCUGUAAUUUUGUGUUACUAACAUCCAAUUAAGUGCUAAUUCUUUAUGUAUCCGUGGGAGUGGGCAACCGAGUCGACCUAAAAUUACAUCGGCUAAAGUUUCGCUCGGUCAUUCUUCACCCGGGGUCACUAAUAGACUUUCUAUAGGGUCGCGCUAUUUGGCCUUCCUGAUAUUUUAUUUAGAUAAAGCUACUCAGGUAAUCUUACAAUAGCGAGGCAUUCCUGAUUUUCUUUUAGAUAUAAGUCUGUCUUCCUUAGUUCAUGUAAACUGACACAAAUAAAAUUUGGAGCCACCUAGAAUAUGGACACAAAGGAUCUUGGCCGCUCAUGUAAGAAAAUGGUAACCAAAGCGCAAGAAAAAUAGGACUUGCGAAGUGGCAAAAUGAAAGAAGACUUGUAGGAACACCGCCCACUAAUUGAACCAGCCAAUCAGACAUGUAAAAGAUUGAGACCCGCUGUGAGAAUUUGAGAGCUCACAUAAGAAGAAUAUUUGUAACACACGGUAAAAUAAUGAACUUUAUCAACACAAUUAUUUUAUGUACCAACACAUAAGGCAUUUGUACAAUAAUUAGGACGACCGAUGUCUUGGCACGAGUAACAUUAGAAUUCAUUUUUAUCAUGAUGCUUUACAAUUGUAAAAAAAAUCAUGAUGCUUUAUAUGAAGAAGAUGGAAGAACAAACAGAUUCGGAAACCAAAUCAUUAUGAUUCAUUUGUUUCUUCCAAGAAAGUACUUCCACUGACCACUUGGCUUUGUUAUCCAUGGGCUUUUAGCUAUUGUGUCCCAAGAACAUGGCAUACCAUCAGACAACACAUGAAUUCACACCCAAAAAAGAAAGAAAACAAUGCGCAUUGCAGCCGCAAUCUAGUGGACACCCAGCCAGAUAGAGAGAAAUCACAAAACAUCAAGUGUUGUAGCCAGCCGAAUCAAGAUGGAGUCGCUACAACAGGGAUGCCUUAAAUCUGGGACAUAAUGAGUUGUAUGCCUUGCUCAUUUCCGAAAAAGGGUUCCCCCGCUUUGUAUACAAAGCAGCCAACCGAACCAUACAGGAAUAGGUGCUGGGGCGGAAGCAGCACAAUCACGCCCAAAAGAAACGACAGAGAAAGAGCAAAAGAAACAAAUGCCGACAACGGCGGAUCAACAAAAACGAAGAAGCCACGCGAUCGUUGUGCCCACCAGGAUCUUCCACUAGGCUCCAAGACUCCGAAGCGCCGGCACCUAUCAACACCUCCAAGAAGGAUCGCGACGAUGACGACGUUGCUGCCAAGGGUUCCCCCCAGUACACAACGAGGCGAGAGGAAGGGUAGCCCCCAACGCCCUCCUGGAAGGUCAAGUGGCACCCACAGGCGCCACCGCGCCGGUGUCGGCCAUGCCGAGAGGGGUUUCCCCCGAUCCCAACCCACACCUCGGGCGCUACGGAUCCAGUCACCAAACCAACCACCACCCUGCGCCAACGCGGUCAUGAGGCCCCCACGCCAUCUCACCACGGCACCGCGAAGUGAGGACAGCGUGGCGAAGAAUCAGAGUCGGGACUAGGGCAUCAGCACCUCGGCACGCGGGAGGGCCCCACCUCCACCGUCAGCGAUGGUAGCCGUCCGGACGCAAUAGCAAGAGCACACCAGGCCUGUGGGCCCACAGGCCCGGCCGAGCCCUCGUGGGCCUGUAAAGCUCCCGCCUUCGCGCAGCAGCAGCACGCCACCGGCGCCAACACCCCAUAUCUGAGCCGCUCCUCCUCCUCACCGCGCCACAGACAACGAGGCCACGCCGAGGGCUAGCCCUCUAGGACCCAGAUGGGGCCCGCCGGGCCCAGAUCUGGUCCGGGGCGCGACGGCGGCCACCCAGCACCACCACGCUGCCCUGCCGCUAAGGAGCAGCGCCGCCAUCACGUCCGCCGUCGGCCACCCCGCCAGGUCACCGGACCGCCGCCAAGCCGAGCGACACCGCCUCCGCCCCCUGCCUCGGGCCAAGAGGACGCGUGAGGGAGUCCUGGAUUAAGGGGUCCUCGAACGGCCGGACUAUGCAACAUGGGCCGGACUGAUGGGCUAUGAAGAUACAAGACCGAAGACUCUCUCCCGUGUCCGGAUGGGACUCUCCUUGGCGUGGAAGGCAAGUUUGGCGCUCGGAUAUGAAGAUUCCAUUCUCUGUAACUGACUUUGUGCAACCCUAGUCCCCUCUGGUGUCUAUAUAAACUGAGGGUUUAGUCCAUAAGGGCAAUCAUAAUCAUACAUGCUAGACUUCUAGGGUUUUAGCCAUUACCUCGAUAGAGAGGGCCCGAACCUAGGUAAACAUCGUGUCCCCCGCCUCCUGUUACCAUCAACCUUAGACGCACAGUUCGGGACCCCCCACCCGAGAUCUGCCGGUUUUGACACCGACAUUGGUGCUUUCAUUGAGAGUUCCGCUGCGUCGUCACCAAAAGGUUUGAUGGCUCCAUCAAUCAUCUACAACAAUGCAGUCCAGGGGGAGGUUUUCCUCCCCGGAUAGAUCUUCUUAUUCGUCGGCUUCGUAUUGUGGGCCAACUCACUUGGCCAUCUAGAGCAGAUCGACAGCUACGCCCCUGGCCAUCAGGUCAGGUUUGGAAGCUUGAAAUAUGUCGCCGAUAUCCGCGGAGACUUGAUCUUCGACGGAUUUAAGCCCAUGGCAGCCGCUCCCGGCCACCACGAUGAACAUGACCUAAAUCUGUCAUUGGACCGUGCCCAGGUGAUAGCGCCUAUUAACUGCUCUAGCCCUGGAUCCGGAGCAGAUUGCGUCGCCCGAGGACGGGAAGCUCAACCCCGCCGCGGAAGCCGCAGACUCAUUGAUGUUAGAGCCGGACACAGAUCCGACCUCGAGGGGGCCUGUGUCACUGGAACCUCGGAUUCGUCUCUGGCCAUAGGUUCCGAACCGCGUGCAUCCGCGCCCAUCGAAUCUGAUCAGGCGCCGAUUGUUGAGUUCAGCUCCGCGGACAUCUUCCGCCCUCACCUUUAGGCGAUGUGCUAAACUCAUUAAGAACCCUCUCCUUAUCAAGGAACUCUCAGUCAAACUAUAUCUGGUUCAAAUUGGGAGCUGAGGGCGAAGAAUUCCUUUUCCCACCCACCACCCACUUCGUAGCCACUGCCGAAGAUUUAACCGACAUGCUCGAUUACGGCUCCGAAGAAAUCGACAGUAUGGACGACGAUGCCGGAGAGGAGUAGACACUAGAACCUCCAUGCACAGGGCGCUGGACAACCACCUCCUCGUAUGACGUAUACAUGGUGGAUACACCCAAAGAGAACAACAACGAUAACAAAAAGGAUCCAGCCGAGGAUAGGCCUCCAGAGAAGCAGCCAAAGCACAGCGGCGCCGCUCUAGACCACGCCAUGGAAAAAACAGCAAUACCAGCAUAGAAGAAAAUACUCCGGACGAUGCCGAAGACAACGAAGACCCCAUUGAGCCAACUUCCGAACAGGAUGAACGGGAGGAUGGGCGAGUCAGCCCUAAUGAACAAGCCAUUAACAAAGAUUCGGAGGACAACAAUUAUCUUCCACACUCCGAGGAUGAGGCGAGCCUUGGCGACGAAGACUUCAUCGUGCCUGAGGAGCCCAUCGACUAGGAGCGCUUUAAGCGCGGCUAAUAGCCACUGCAAGGAGCCUGAAAAAGAAGCAGCAGCAGCUUAAAGCUGAUCAAGAUCUCCUUAGUGACAGAUGGACUAAUGUCCUGGCAACCAAGGAAUACAGCCUCGAGUGCCCAACCAAAAGUUACCUGAAGCGCAAAUUAUUACCCCAAUUCGAUGACGAGGCGCUGGAGCCCGUCCUACCAGCGUAUAAUGCGGCUGACCGACCACCACAUGGCCGGGAUAAAGCGGCAACUUAAGCCGAACACCAGCCCACACUACCUCGCCAAAAAAACAGAGACAUAACAGCUCGGGGAUAUACAUAUGACCUGCGGCAUGACCUGGAAAACAGAGCGGGUCAGACUAGAUCGAUCUAUGGAUCGCGGGGGCGUGCCUUGAUGCGCGAUGACGACCAUUCGACCGAACGUGAAAAAUAUAACCAUGACCGGGCCGAAUACCGCAGAUUAACUCCAUCCGAGUUAUGUCGCGACGUGGCCUGACAUAGAGGCACCGCACACCCCCUCUGCUUCACUGAUGAAGUAAUGGGACAUGAAUUCCCAGAAGGGUUUAAACCCGUGAACAUCGAAUCAUAUGAUGGUACAACAGACCCCGCGGUAUGGAUUGAAGAUUUUCUCCACCAUAUUCAUAUGGCCCGCGGUGAUGACCUUCACGCCAUCAAAUACCUCCCGCUAAAACUCAAGGGACUUGCUCGGCACUGGGUGAACAGUUUGCCAGAAAACUCAAUUGGCAGCUGGGAGGACCUGGAAGACGCCUUCCUCGACAACUUCCAGGGUACAUGCGUCCGACCUCCAGAUGCCGAUGACUUAAGUCACAUUGUUCAACAGCCCAGAGAGUCAGCCAGGAAAUUCUAGACCAGAUUCUUAACUAAAAAGAACCAGAUCGUCGACUGUCCGGAUGCCGAAGCCCUAGCGGCCUUUAAACAUAGCAUCCGUGACGAAUGGCUCGCCCGACACCUCGACCAAGAAAAGCCGAAGUCUAUGGCAGCCCUCACGAUGCUUAUGACCCGCUUAUGUGCGAGCGAGGAUAGCUGGCUAGCUCGCAGCAAUACCAAUGAACCUAGCACUUCUAAAGCAAGAAAUAGCAACGUCAAGCCCCGACGCAAUAGACACAAGCGUUGAAGCAACAAUGACUACACCGAGGACACGACGAUCAACGCCGGAUUCAGUGGCUCUAAGUCCAGUCAGCGGAAGAAGCCAUAUAAAAGGAAUAAUCUGGGCUCGUCCAACUUGGACCGCAUCCUCGAUCGCCCAUGUCAAAUCCACGGCACCCCUGAUAAACCAGCCAACCAUACCAACAAAGAGUGUUGGAUUUUUAAACAGGCCGACAAGUUAAAUGCCGAGAAUAAGGAGAAGGGGUCACAAAGCGAGGACGAUGACGAGGAGCCCCGGCCACCGAACACAGGGGGACAGAAGAAGUCCCCCCCCCCAAGUUAAAACGGUGAACAUGAUAUACGCUACCCAUAUCCCCAAGAGGGAGCGCAAGCGCGCGCUCAGGGACGUCUACGGGAUGGAGCUAGUCGCCCCAAAAUUCAACCCAUGGUCGUCCUGCCCGAUCACUUUCGAUCGCAGGGAUCAUCCGACCAGUAUCCGUCAUGGCAGUUCAGCCGCACUGGUCCUCGACCCAAUCAUUGAUGGAUUCCAUCUCACACGAGUCCUCAUGGACGGUGGCAGCAGCCUGAACCUGCUCUAUCAGGAUACAGUGUGCAAAAUGGGUAUUGAUCCCUCAAGAAUCAAGCCCACAAAAACUACCUUCAAAGGAGUGAUACCAGGUGUAGAGGCCCAUUGUACGGGCUCAAUCACACUGGAAGUGGUCAUCGGAUCCCCGGAUAACUUCCAAAGCGAAGAGUUGAUCUUCGAUAUCGCCCCCUUCCGUAGUGGCUAUCACGCACUGCUCGGAUGAACCAUAUUUGCUCGAUUCAAUGCGGUGCCGCACUACGCUUAUCUCAAGCUCAAGAUGCCCAGACCACGCGGUGUCAUAACAGUCAAUGGAAACACGGAACACUCUCUUCGUACCGAGGAGCACACCGCUGCCCUUGCAGCAAAAGCAUAGAGCGGCCUUUUUAGGCAAAACUUUAAUUCAGCGGCCAAGCUCCCAGACACUGUCAAGUGAGUCCGGACUACUCUGCAGCAGGACAGUCCAGCUCGUCAAGAGCUUGACUAGCAAUUUGGCCUCCGUCCCAGCCCCGACCAAACAGCGGCACUAGUACCGCGCGUACAUAACUACGCACUCAAAAUACCAUGAGCAUGUACGAAGGCACAACUAGAUCAUGGUCCAUAAUACGGUUCAACCUCUCGUGGACCAACAUACUUUCACUUUUUAUUCUUCUUUUCAGGUUUCUUUUUUCCAGGCCUUUCCUGGUGGCCUGAUUGUCGAUCCUUUCGAAGGACAUACACAUACCAAGGCGGGAAGCAGUACGGACGCGUGAGGGAAUCUCUAGAUGUUCUUCUCAAUGAUCAUUCUACCUGUCUUCGGAACUCGCAUGGAGCUCCCCCCGGUCUUGGCAGGUUAAUCAACUAUAUUGUUUAUCAUACUAUUUGUACAAAUAUGCUUUGACGUAUCAAUCAAAUUACAAUAAAAACAGUUGCAGCCCAAUUUAGGUGACAUUAACUUGCUUUUUCAUUUUAUUUUGUUAUUCUUAUCGAUUGCACCCAUACACUUUGGUACGCUUUUAAUUCGGCAGGGGCUUCAUUACGCCCCAUAACACGACAACAAAGUCCGAACACUUUUUUAUAGUACAGUUCGGCACCCCGAACUUAUAGCAUUAUAUGCAUUGGCUCCGAAUCAUGUCUUUGGUCAAUAGUUGGGUUGCCCGGCUCCUGUGCUUACUACCUUACGUUUCUCUAUAUCGGCUAGGGUAGUAAAGGGAGAACUACUGCGAUUGUGUCCUCAUUCAUCCGGAUGAGCACCUCAGUAGAGAAAGCCGAAAACUGACUGUCAUGAUGCGUCGAGAGCCGGUCAGCUGUUCGAGAGGACACAAAUCUUUUGCGAUUUUUUCCGCAUUACGCGACGAAUCGGUUUUUAUCCGAUCAGGCAUUUACAGUACCCCAAGUUCGGACUUACGAACACUAGGGGCUGCGCCUACAUUUCUAUUGUCAAACUCCUAUGGCUAAGUGAGGAUGAUAAAGCCACAUAGUCUGAUUGCCUAGUUCGUUGCGCUAAACACCUCCUUUAAGGACCAAACUCUGGAGUAAAGAGUGUUUAGAUUUAGCCUGAACACCCCCGUACUUCCUACGUGGGGGCUGAAGCCGACGACUGGCCAACUCUCAGAUUUAACAAAACGGCCGCACAAGAGGUAAAAUUUUAAAUAACAGGCAUAUAUUACAUAAUGGUUCUAUUUCAUAAGUACAGGACAGGAUAACAUGAAUGUAUUCAUUCAAAGAUAAUAUUCUUAGCACAUUGCUCUGCCACAAUGCGGGAUCCCUCCAGGACACUGUCAAAAUACAGCUCGGGCGUGCGGUGCUCCUUGCCCGCGGGUAGUCCCUCGGUUACAAGCUUCACGACGUCCAUCUUCACCCAAUGCAUCUUGACUCGGGCGAAGGCCAUUCACGCGCCUUCGAUACGGACCGACCGCUUGACAGCAUCAAUCCGAGGGUAGGCAUUGACCAGCCGCUUCACGAGUCCGAAGUAGCUGCUGGGUAUGGCUUCGGCAGGCCAUAGCCGGAUUAUUAAAUCCUUCAAGGCUAGUUCGGCCACCCUAUGUAAUUCGACCAGCUGUUUUAACUGGCCGCUAAAGGGCACCGGAUGUUCUGGCGCAAGGUAUUACGACCAGAACAACUUCUCCGUGGAGUUCUUCUCUUCGGCUCGGAAGAACUCCGCAGCAUCUAAAAUGCUGCAUGACAGAUCUGCAAACGCCCCUGGAGAACUCCAAAUCCGGGUCAGUGAGAGGAACCUUUUCUUCACAUAUUUGCUUUGCAUAAUAAAUCCCUUACCCGCCGCGAUUUUUCUGGCCUCCUUGACUUCCUGGAGGGCGCCCUGGGCUUCAACCCGGGCACCGUGUGCGCUUUGGUGAGCCUUGGUCAGUUCGAUCUCUUGAUCCGCAAUGUUGCGCUCCAAGGACUCACAUUUCUUUACAGCGUCCUAGAGCUCUUGCUGGACCUCAACGACCCUGGCCUCAUGCUUUUCACAGGCGGCUUUUUCCUUGGCCGCUCUUUCCUCGGCCUCGGCCAGAGCCUUCUUGAGGGUCUCCACCUCGGUCGCCGCUCCUAAUGAAUGUCAUGACACUUUAGUCAGCACAAGUCAUUCAUCCUUCCUGAAUAUCGACAAGGUUACUUCAUACCUUGAUUGUCUUCUAGCCGUUUCUUCACACGACCGAGCUCUUCCUCAGUCCGCUCCAGACUCUGCUUCAGUUCGAGACUUCAGCAGCAUGAGAGGUCGCAGCUAGCAGCGACGCCUACUUAUUCAUAUAGACAUGUCAGUUUGAUCUCUUGCGAAAAUUAUUUGAUCCUCUGUUCGGCUUUUCUUUCUGAACACCGGACAGAGUCUCAGGGGCUACUUUCCAUACUAUGACACUCUUUUUAAAUAAUUGCGUUGCUUACCUCAAAGCCUGUCAGAAGGCUUGUGCAGGCUUCGGUCAGUACGCUCUUCGCGGACUGAAUAUUCUCAACCACCGUACUGAUACGUCUCCAACUUAUCUAUAAUUUUUGAUUGUUCCAUGCUAUUAUAUUACCUGUUUUGGAUGUUUAAUGGGCUUUAUUAUACACUUUUAUAUUAUUUUUAGGACUAACCUAUUAAUCGGAGGCCCAGUCCAAAUUGCUGUUUUUUUGCCUAUUUCAGUGUUUUAUAGAAAAGGAAUAUCAAACGGAGUCCAAACAGAAUGAAACCUUCGGGAGAGUUAUUUUUGGAAUAAACGUGAUCCAGAGGACUUGGAGUGGACGUCAAGAAAGAAGCGAGGAGGCCACGAGGCAGGGAGGCACGCCUACCCCCCUGGGCAUGCCCCCACCCUCGUGGGCCCCUCGUGGCUCCCUUGACCGACUUCCUUCUCCUACUUAUACCCAUAUACUCCGAAAACAGCCAGGAGCACAAUAGAUCGGGAGUUCCACCGCCGCAAGCCUCUGUAGCCACCAAAAACCAAUCGGGACCCUGUUUCAGCACCCUGCCGGAGGGGGGGAUCCCUCACCGGUGGCCACCAUGACGAGGAGGGAGUAGUUCACCCUCGGGGAUGAGGGUAUGUACCAAUAGCUAUGUGUUUGAUCUCUCUUUCUCUCUCUCGUGUUCUUGAUUUGGCACGAUCUUGAUGUAUCACGAGCUUUGCUAUUAUAGUUGGAUCUUAUGAUGUUUCUCCCCCUCUACUCUCUUGUAAUGGAUUGAGUUUUCCCUUUGAAGUUAUCUUAUCGGAUUGAGUCUUUAAGGAUUUGAGAACACUUGAUGUAUGUCUUGCAUGUGCUUAUCUGUGGUGACAAUGGGAUAUUCACGUGAUCUACUUGAUGUAUGUUUCGGUGAUCAACUUGCGGGUUCCGUAACCUUAUGAACAUAUGUAUAGGGGUUGGCACACCUUUUUGUCUUGACUCUCCGGUAGAAACUUUGGGGCACUCUUUGAAGUUCUUUAUGUUGGUUGAAUAGAUGAAUCUGAGAUUGUGUGAUGCAUAUCGUAUAAUCAUACCCACGGAUACUUGAGGUGACAUUGGAGUAUCUAGGUGACAUUAGGGUUUUGGUUGAUUUGUGUCUUAAGGUGUUAUUCUAGUUCAAACUCUAUGAUAGAUCGAACGGAAAGAAUAGCUUCAUGUUAUUUUACUACGGACUCUUGAAUAGGUCGAUCAGAAAGGAUAACUUUGAGGUGGUUUCAUACCCCUACAAUAAUCUCUUCGUUUGUUCUCCACUAUUACUUACUUUGGAGUGACUCUUUGUUGGAUCCCGAGGGAUAGUUAUAUGAUCCAAUUAUGUUAUUAUUGUUGAGAGAAGUUGCACUAGUGAAAGUAUGAACCCUAGGCCUUGUUUCCUAGCAUUGCAAUACCAUUUACUCUCACUUUUAUCGCUUGUUACCUUGCUGUUUUUAUAAGUUCAGAUUACAAAAACCUAUAUCUACCAUCAAUAUUGCACUUGUAUCACCAUUUCUUCGCCGAACUAGUGCACCUAUACAAUUUACCAUUGUAUUGGGUGUGUUGGGGACACAAGAGACUCUUUGUUAUUUGGUUGCAGGGUUGUUUGAGAGAGACCAUCUUCAUCCUAUGCCUUCAACGGAUUGAUAAACCUUAGGUCAUCCACUUGAGGGAAAUUUGCUACUAUCCUACAAACCUCUGCACUUGGAGGCCCAACAACGUCUACAAGAAGGUUGCGUAGUAGACAUCAAGCUCUUUUCUGGCGCCGUUGCCGGGGAGGUGAGUGCUUGAAGUUAUAUAUUUAGAUCUUGCAAUCGAAUCUUUUAGUUUAUUGUACUAUCACUAGUUUAGUCUAUAAAAGAAAACUACAAAAAAAAUUAGAAUUGAGGGUUCCUCAUAUGCUUCAUCUUUUUAAUGUCUUUCAUGAAAAUGAUGGGAAGGAAAAUUGUGCUCAAGUACUAGAAGAAGAAUUACAUAGAAUGCUUGGCAUAAAAUAUGUGAAUAAUGAGCAUGAUUGUAAUGUUGUUAGUAUGAAUUCUUUGAAUACCCAUGAUGCUAAUGAUAUGCAAAGCCACAAGCUUGGGGAUGCUAUGUUUGAUGAAGAUGACAUGUUUAGUCCUCCAAGUUUUGAUGAGAAUAUUUAUUAUGAUGAAAGCAUGCCUCCUAUUUAUGAUGAUUAUAUUGAUGAAAGUGGGUUUGGAAGAGUGUCAACUUUAGGAAGUAAUGAUCCCACUAUUUUGGAGGAUGUUUUAUAUUAUUGUGAUAAUUAUGAAAGUGGAUUUGGAGAGGUCAUGACUUUAUUUAGUGAUGAAUCCACUACUUCGGAAGAGGUUCCAAUUGAUUAUGAGAAUAAAGUUGCUAUCUAUGAUGAUUAUUAUGAUGACAUGUAUGCUAUAAAGAAUAAUGAUAACCAUGAAACUUGUCAUCAUGAUUUUAGUUUUCAAUUGGAUUUUGCCUCACAUGAUAGUUAUUUUGUUGAGUUUGCUCCCACUAUUAUUCAUGAGAAGAAAUUUGCUUAUGUGGAGAGUAAUAAAAAUUCUAUGCUUGUAGAUAAUGAAAAGAAUGUUUUAUGUGAUGGUUAUAUUGUUGAAUUCAUUCAUGAAGCUACUGAAAAUUAUUAUGAGGGAGGAAUAUAUGCUUGUAGGAAUUGCAAUAAUAUCAAGUUUCCUCUCUAUGUGUUGAAAAUCUUGAAGCUAUGGCUGUUUUGCUUUCCUUUGCUAGUUGAUUAUUGUUCCCAUAAGUUGUUUGCUCACAAAAUCCCUAUGCAUGGGAAGUGGAUUAGGCUUAAAUGUUCUAGUCAUAUUCUUCAUGAUGCUCUCUUUAUGUUUCAAUUCUUAUCUUUUAUGUGGGCAUGAUUGAAAUCAUCAUGCCUAGCUAGGGCCGUUAAACGAUAGCGCUUGUUGGGAGGCAAAACAAUUUUAAUUUUAUCCUUUGUUUUUGCUCCUGUUUAGUAAUAAAUAAUUCAUCUAGCCUCUGGUUAGAUGUGGUUUUGUGUUUUAAUUAGUGUUUGUGCUAAGUAGAACCUUUGGGAAGACUUGGGUGAAGUCUUUAUGAUCUUGCUGUAAAAAACAGAAACUUUUGCGCUCACGAGAUUAGCUGCCAUUUUUUACUGGAGAGUGAUUUUAGGUUGAUUAGUUUUGCAGAAGAUUAAUAGACAAAUUCCUCAGGUCUACCAAUUUAUUUCAGAUUUUUUGGAGUUACAUAAGUAUGCGUUUGAUACAGAUUGCUACAGACUGUUCUGUUUUUGACAGAUUCUGUUUUCAUUGUGUUGUUUGCUUAUUUUGAUGAAUCUAUGAGUAGUAUCGGAGGGUAUGAACCAUAGAUAAGUUGGAAUACAGUAGAUAUUACACUAAUAUGAAUUUAUAAUGAGUUAACAACAGUACCAAAAGUGGUGAUUUAUUUCCUUAUACUAACGGAGCUUAUGAGUUUUCUGUUGAGUUUUGUGUUGUGAAGUUUUCAAGUUUUGGGUAAAGAUUCGAUGGACUAUGGAAUAAGGAGUGGCAAGAGCCUAAGCUUGGGGAUGCCCAAGGCACCCCAAGGUAAUAUUCAAGGACAAUCAAGAUCCUAAGCUUGGGGAUGCCCCGGAUGGCAUCCCCUCUUUCAUCUUCGUUCAUCGGCAACUUUACUUGGAGCUAUAUUUUUAUUCACCAAAUGAUUUGUGUUUUGCUUGGAGCCUCAUUUUGUUUUAUUUUGUUUUGCUUGCUGUUUGAAUAAAUUACUUAAGAUCUGAAGUUUUAUUUAUGAGAAGGAGUCUUGCUAGUUGGGUAAUUGUUUUGAGAUAUAAAGGUGGUAAUGUUAGAGUCAUGCUAGUUGGGUAAUUGUGAAAUUGAGAAAUACUUGUGUUAGAGUUGGCAAGUCCCGUAGCAUGCACGUAUGGUAAAAGUUGUGUGACAAAUUUGAAGCAUGGGGUGUUCCUUGAGUGCUUUCCGUAUGAGUGGAGGUCGGGGAGGAGCGAUGGUCUUUUCCUACCAAUCUAUCUCUUUAGGGGCAUGCGUAGUAGUACUUUGCUUCGAGGGCUAAUAAACUUUUGUAGUAAGUAUAAGAGUUCUUUAUGACUAAUGUGAGUCCAUGGAUUAUACACACUCUUACCCUUCCGCAAUUUGCUAGCCUCUACGGUACCGUGCAUUGCCCUUUAUCAACUUGAGAGUUGGUGCAAACUCCACCGGUGCAUCCAAACCCCGUGAUACGAUACGCUCUAUCACACAUAAACCUCCUUAUAUCUUCCUCAAAACAGCCACCAUACCUACCUAUUAUGGAAUUUCCAUAGCCAUUCCGAGAUAUAUUGCCAUGUAACUUUCCAUUGUUUCGUUUAUUAUGACACGCUUAAGGAUGGCAAUGGGUCGGGUUUGGAUCGGGUUGAACAAUAUCAAAUCCAUAUCCAUAUCCAUGAAGACAACCUUUGCCCGCCCAUGAAAAAAUCCAUGGGUGAAAAAUUGUGUCCAUGUCCAAAUCCGAUGGAUAUCCAUUUCCACUGGAUAUCCAUUGGGUCCUCUCGAGACAUAUAAAAUAAGACUUAACACAAUAUUAACAUAAACUCUUCCAUUCUUCACCUCAUGGCAGGCCAGGCUUCACUUAUGGUAAAUCAACAUACAGUAACAACCUAAGAUCAUUUAUUAUUUUUCUAAUAGAUGAGAAUGACGAGUCAUUUAAGAAGGAGAUAAAAAUAAGGGAAGGGGUGUUGGAGUAUGUUACGGAGGGGAUUGACUAUCAACUUAUAAAAGUUACGAUGGGGAUUGUUUAAUUUCUUAUGCAUGUUUUAGAUAAAAAAAGUGUAAGAUUGCAGUGGGACAUGUGAACAUGGGGCAGGGAUAGCAGAAUUUUUUUCCCAUUAAGUCAUACUAUCAGGUCGGGUUUCGGUAUAUCCAUGGGUACAUGAUUAUAUCCAUGGCCUACCCAUAAACAAUCGGGUCGGGUUUGGGCGCCGCCCAUGGACACAAAAGCAUAUCCAAACCCUAUCCAUUCAGGCCGGAUAUCCAUGGAUAUCCAUGUCCAUGGAUAAAAUUGCCAUCUUCACAUGCUCCAUCAUUUUCAUAUUGCUUUUGCAUGAUCAUGUAGUUGACAUCGUAUUUGUGGCAAAGCCACCUUUAUAAUUCUUUCAUACAUGUCGCUCUUGAUUCAUUGCAUAUCCCGGUACACCACCGGAGGCAUUCAAAUAGAGUCAUAUUUUGUCCUAAGUAUUCAGUUGUAAUUCUUGAGUUGUAAAUAAAUAGAAGUGUGAUGAUUUCCAUUAUUAGAGCAUUGUCCCAUGUGAGGAAAGGAUGAUGGAGACUAUGAUUCCCCCACAAGUCGGGAUGAGACUCCGGACUUUAUGAAAAAUAAACGAGGCCAAAGAAGCCCAAACAAAAAAAGAGGCCAAAGAAGCCCACCAAAUAAAAAAAAGGAAAAGAAAAAAAGAGAGAAAAAGAGAGAAGGGACAAUGUUACUAUCCUUUUACCACACUUGUGCUUCAAAGUAGCACCAUGAUAUUCAUGAUAGAGAGUCUCUUAUGUUGUUACUUUCAUAUAUUAGUGGGAAUUUUUCAUUAUAGAACUUGGCUUGUAUAUUCCAAUGAUGGGCUUCCUCAAAAUGCCCUAGGUCUUCGUGAGCAAGCAAGUUGGAUGCACACCCACUUAGUUUCUUUUUGGUGAGCUUUCAUACAUUUAUAGCUCUAGUGCAUCCGUUGCAUGGCAAUCGCUACUCCUUGCGUUGACAUCAAUUGAUGGGCAUAUCCCUAGCCCGUUGAUUAGCCACGUCAAUGUGAGAAUUUCUCCUUUUUUGUAUUCUCUCAUAAACCCCUAUCAUCAUAUUCUAUUCCACCUAUAGUGCUAUAUCCAUGGCUUGCGCUCAUGUAUUGAGUAAGGGUUGAAAAUGUUGAAGCGUGUUAAAAAGUAUGAACCAAUUGCUCGGCUUGUCAUCGGGGUUAUGCAUAAGGGGAGUAUUUUGUGUGACGAAAAUGAAGCAUGGCCAAACUAUAUGAUUUUGUAGGGAUAAGCUUUCUUUGGCUAUGUUAUUUUGAUAAGACAUGAUUACUUGGUUAGUAUGCUUGAAGUAUUAUUAUUUUUAUGUCAAUAUUAAACUUUUAUCUUGAAUCUUUUGGAUCUAAACAUUCAUGCCACAAUAAAGAAAAUUACAUUGAGAAAUAAUCUAGGUAGCAUUCCACAUCAAAAAUUCUGUUUUUAUCAUUUACCUACUUGAGGACAAGCAGGAGUUAAGCUUGGGGAUGCUUGAUACGUCUCCAACGUAUCUAUAAUUUUUGAUUGUUCCAUGCUAUUAUAUUACCUGUUUUGGACGUUUAAUGGGCUUUGUUAUACACUUUUAUAUUAUUUUUUGGACUAACCUAUUAACCGGAGGCCUAGUCCAAAUUGCUGCUUUUUUUUGCCUAUUUCAGUGUUUUGCAGAAAAGGAAUAUCAAAUGGAGUCCAAACGGAAUGAAACCUUUGAGAGAGUUAUUUUUGGAACGAACGUGAUCCAGAGGACUUGGAGUGAAUGUCAAGAAAGAAGCGAGGAGUCCAUGAGGCAGGGAGGCACGCCUGCCCCCUGGGCGCCCCCCCUCGUUGGCCCCUUGUGGCUCCCUUGAUUGAGUUCCUUCUCCUACAUAUACCCAUAUACUCCAAAAACAGCCAGGAGCACAAUAAAUCGGGAGUUCCACCGCCGCAAGCCUCUGUAGCCACUGAUACGUCUCCAACGUAUCUAUAAUUUUUGAUUACUCCAUGCUACUUUGUCUACUGUUUGGACUAUAUUGGGCUUUAUUUUCCACUUUUAUAUUAUUUUUGAGACUAACCUAUUAACCGGAGGCCCAGCCCAGAAUUGCUGUUUUUUUUGCCUAUUUCAGUAUUUCGAAGAAACAUAAUAUCAAACGGAGUCCAAAUGGAAUAAAACCUUCGGGAACGUGAUUUCCUCACCGAACGUGAUCCAGGAGACUUGGACCCUACUCCAAGAAGUGCCAGAGGCGGUCACGAGGGUGGAGGGCGCCCCCCUGGGCGCGCCCCCUGCCUCGUGGGCCCCAUGUUGCUCCACCGAUGUACUCCUUCCUCCUAUAUAUACCUACGUACCCCCGUCAGAUCAGAACAGGAGCCAAAAACCUAAUUCCACCGCCGCAACCUUCUGUAUCCGUGAGAUCCCAUCUUGGGGCCUGUUCCGGAGCUCCGCCGGAGAGGGCAUCUACCACGGAGGGUGAGGGAGUCCUGGAUUAGGGGGUGUCCGGAUGGCCGGACUAAGACCUUUGGCCGGACUCCUGGACUACAAAGAUACAAGAUUGAAGACUCCGUCCCGUGUCCGGAUGGGACUUUCCUUGGCGUGGAAGGCAAGCUUGGCGAUACGAUAUGAAGAUCUCCUCCCAUUGUAACCGACUCUGUGUAACCCUAGCCCUCUCCGGUGUCUAUAUAAACCGGAGAGUUUUAGUCCAUAGGACGAACAACAAUCAUACCAUAGGCUAGAUUCUAGGGUUUAGCCACUCCGAUCUCGUGGUAGAUCUACUCUUGUACUACCCAUAUCAUCAAUAUUAAUCAAGUAGGAGUAGGGUUUUACCUCCAUCGAGAGGGCCCGAACCUGGGUAAAAACAUCGUGUCCCUUGUCUCCUGUUACCAUCUGCCUAGACGCACAGUUCGGGACCCCCUACCCGAGAUCCGCCGGUUUUGACACCGACAUUGGUGCUUUCAUUGAGAGUUCCUCUGUGUUGUUGCCUUUUAGGACCGAUGGCUUCUUCGCUCGUCAACCGCGACUCGGUCCGGGAAGAGACUUUUCUCCCCGGACAGAUCUUCGUAUUCGGCGGCUUCGCACUGCGGGCUGACUCGUUCGGCCAUCUAGAGCAGAUUGAGAGCUACGCCCCUGGCCGUCAGGUCAGGUUUGGAAGCUUGAACUACAUGGCCGACAUCCGUGGGGACUUGAUCUUCGAUGGAUUCGAUCCACAACCGGGCGCGCCGCACUAUCACGAUGGGCACGAUUUAGCUCUGUCAUCGGACAACGCCCAGAGCGUCGCUCAGGUGUCCGCUCCGACCAUUAGCUCGGAGCCCACUACGCCAGUCGGAGACAGACGGUUAGACGCCACCCCGGAAACUGCAAUCUCUACGGCGAUAGAGCCGGAUACCAGCCUAGUCCCUCACAAGGCCCGUGACUCCGAGGUGCCGGACUCCGAUCCGGACUCCGUAAAUCCUGCACCUCUCCCGGUUAAGCCCGAUUGGGCUCCGGUCAUGGAGUUCACCGCCGUGGAUGUCUUUCAGCACUCACCUUUCGGCAACAUCCUGAAUUCGUUAAAGUCUCUCUCUUUGUCAGGAGAGCCCUGGCCGGACUACGGCCAACACGGUUGGGACGCAGACAACAAAGAAAUUUGUAGCCCACCCACCACCCACUUUGUAGCCGCUGUUGACGAUUUAACCGACAUGCUCGACUUCGACUCCGAAGACAUCGACGGCAUGGACGCCGAUGAAGGAGACGAUCAAGAACCAGUGCCUAUAGGGAACUGGAAAGCCACCUCGUCAUACGACAUAUACAUGGUGGACACCCCUAAAGCGGGGGAGGGCGAGGAGAAAACGGAGGAUGACCCCUCCAAGAAGCAACCCAAGCGCCGACGUCAACAGCGCCGCUCUAAGUCCCGCCAAAGCAAAAACGGCGAUUCCGGCACCAGAGAUAACAAUACGCCGGACAGUGCCGAAGACAACCCCCUCCAGCAGGAUUCAGUGCAGGAGAACGAAGGAGCCAGCCCUUGUGAGAGAGCGGCCGACAAAGAGGAUGAGGACGACAAUUACAUGCCUCCCUCCGAAGGCGAGGCAAGCCUCGACAAUGAUGAAUUCGUCGUGCCAGAGGAUCCCGUCGAGCAAGAGCGUUUCAAACGCAGACUCGUAGCCACGGCAAGCAGCCUCAAGAAGAAACAGCAGCAGCUUAGAGCUGACCAAGACCUGCUAGCCGACAGAUGGACCGAAGUCCUGGCGGCCGAAGAGUAUAAACUAGAACGCCCAUCCAAGAGCUACCCGAAGCGCAGGCUGCUUCCCCAACUUGAGGAGGAAGCAACUAAACCUACAUCACCAGCGUAUGAUGCGCCCGAUCGGCCACCCCGUGGCCGCGAUAGAGAGGCCUUCAGGCCCUCGACCCAAGCCGCACCCCGACACCGCUCAAAACAUACCAGAGUACGGGGAGACGCAACAGACCUGCGAGACAUCUUGGAGAAAAGGGCAAGGCAAACAAGAUCGAUCUACGGAUCGCAUGGGCGCCCCGCUUCACGUGACGCUAGCCAUCACGCCGGACAUAAUAAGUAUGGCCCGACCGAAUACAACAGACCAAGCUCGUCCGAGCUGCGUCGCGAUAUAGCUCAGUACAGGGGCGCCGCACACCCACUAUGCUUCACAGACGAAGUAAUGGAUCAUCAAAUCCCCGAGGGCUUCAAACCCGUAAACAUCGAAUCAUACGAUGGCACAACAGAUCCUGCGGUAUGGAUCGAGGAUUAUCUCCUUCACAUCCACAUGGCCCGUGGUGAUGAUCUACACACCAUCAAAUACCGCCCGCUCAAGCUUAAAGGACCAGCACGGCAUUGGCUUAAUAGCCUGCCAGCAGAGUCAAUCAGUUAUUGGGAGGACCUGGAAUCCGCAUUCCUUGACAACUUCCACGACACGUAUGUGCGACCACCAGACGCUGAUGACCUAAGCCACAUAAUCCAGCAACCAGAGGAAUCGGCCAAACAAUUCUGGACACGGUUCCUGACAAAGAAAAACCAAAUAGUCGACUGUCCGGACGCCGAGGCCCUCGCAGCCUUCAGGCACAACAUCCGAGACGAAUGGCUUGCCCGGCACCUAGGACAGGAAAAGCCGAAGUCUAUGGCAGCCCUCACGACACUCAUGACCUGCUUCUGCGUGGGAGAAGAUAGCUGGCUAGCUCGUAGCAAUAACAUAAGCAAAAGCCCCGGCAAUUCGGAUAACAAGGAUAACAACGGCAGGUCACGCCGCAACAAGCAUGAGCGCCGCAUUAACGGUGACAAUACUAAAGAUACGGUAGUCAAUGCCGGAUUCAGAGGCUCUAAACCGGGUCAGCGGAAGAAGCCAUUCAAACGAAACCCUCAGGGCCCAUCCAGCUUAGACCGGAUACUUGAUCGCUCGUGCAAGAUACACGGCACCCCCGAACAGCCAGCCAAUAACACCAACAGAUAUUGUUGGGUGUUCAAGCAGGCAGGCAAGAUAAGUGCCGAGAUCAGAGACAAGGGGCUACAUAGCGAUGACGAGGAGGGGCCCCAGCCGCCGAACAACAAAGGACAGAAGGGAUUUCCUUCGCAAGUUCGGACGGUGAAUAUGAUAUACGCAACCCAUAUCCCCAAAAGGGAGCGGAAGCAUGCUCUCAAGGACGUCUAUGUGCUGGAGCCAGUCGCCCCAAAGUUCAAACCAUGGUCCUCCUGCCCGAUCACUUUCGAUCGACGGGACCAUCCCACCAGCAUCCGUCAUGGCAGAUUCGCCGCACUGGUCCUAGACCCAAUUAUCGAUGGAUUUCACCUUACCAGAGUCCUAAUGGACGGCGACAGUAGCCUAAACCUGCUUUACCAGGACACAGUGCGAAAAAUGGGCAUCGAUUCUUCAAGGAUUAAACCCACAAAGACAACCUUCAAAGGUGUCAUACCAGGGGUCGAAGCCAGCUGUACAGGCUCGGUCACACUCGAGGUGGUCUUUGGAUCACCGGAUAACUUCCGGAGCGAGGAGUUAAUCUUCGACAUAGUCCCAUUCUGCAGCGGCUAUCACGCCCUACUUGGACGAACCACAUUUGCAAAAUUCAAUGCGGUGCCGCACUACGCAUAUCUCAAGCUCAAGAUGCCAGGACCUCGCAGAGUCAUCACGGUAAAUGGAAACACCGAACGCUCUCUCCGAACGGAGGAGCACACGGCGGCCCUGGCGGCGGAAGUACAGAGUAGCCUCUCAAGGAAGUUCUCCAAUCCAGGCGCCAAACAUCCGGAAAACGUCAAGCGAGCCUGAAGUAACCUACAACAAACCCGGCUGGCACGUUCCGAGCAAGCAUAGCAGUACAGCCCCGACCCCAGCCCCCGCCAAACGGCAAUGCUGGUACCACGCGUACAUAAUUACGCCUUAGAGAUACCAUGGGCAUAAGGGGAGGGGCACAACAACGGCACGCCUAGAAUGCGGCUUAACCGCACUAGGGGGCUCCCUAUUUCACCGUUUUCCUUUUUCAUACACUUUCAGGACCCAACUAUUCGGAAGGCCUGUUCGGCAAUACUAUCACCGAACCAACGAUGCAAUAGCCAGGGAGGAAGCAAGCUACGUCAAAAGUCAAGGUGGUCUCUAUAACGAGUUUAAAUACCUGUUUCUCUUACAAUACUGCAGCUUGCCCCUGAAAGGGGAAUAUGUCAAAUACUCCCAUCUCUUGCUUAGCGCACUUUUUGUAUCGUUCUGCUUUCGCAGCAGCCCUUUUUUAAUAAACAAUACAUAGCUCUUAUCUAUUAUUGUACUUAUCUAUUGUUAUAUGCAAACAUGUUCAGUCAUGACACUAUGCAACCGUACACUUUGGCACGGAUAAUACACCAGGGGCUUAUAACACCCCAUAACAUGGUGUGAGAAGACCGAACACUCUAACAAGUGCGGCACCCCGAACUUAUAGCACUAUAUGCAUCGGCUCCGAAUCAUGUCUUUGGUCAAUAGUUGGGUUUGCCCGGCUCCCAUGUUUUGGUACCUUACGUUCCGCAUUGUUUUCUAAGGUAGCGCUGGGAGAACUACUGCGAUUGUGCCCUAGUUGAGCUGGGUUAACACUUCAGUAGAGAAAGCUAAAACUGACUGUCAUGAUAGUGCGAGAGACCGGUCGCUGUUCGCGAGGUUUUUUCGAGUCCUUAAAGACUUAUGCCGCUUCAAGCAAAGAACCGGACUUAUCUGGCCUAGGCGUGGAUAGCGCCCCGAACUCGGUCUUUCGAAUACUAGGGGCUUCGCCGAAAUUUAAAAUUAUAGAAUUCUGUGGCUAAGUGAGAGUGAUAAAGCAUUAUAAGUCCGACGGCCUGGUUCGCUGUGCUGAACGCCUCCCUAGAUGGACCCAAGAAUGGGAACAAGAGCGCUCAGGUUUAUCCCAAACACCCCAGCACUUGUGGCAUGGGGGUCGAAGCCGACGACUUGCAUCUCUCAGAUUUGAUAAACGGCCGCACAGAAGGUAAUAUUUUAAAUUAACAAGCGUUGCUUAACGCAUAUGAACAAAGCUUCAGCGUACAGGAUAACAAAUGCGAGUUUACUCAAAAAUUACAUCUUUGGAGCACUCAUCCGCUAUGCGGCGGGCACCCUUCAGAACGCCAUUAUAAUACAUCUCGGGCGUACGAUACUCCUUGCCCGGUGGUGGCGCGUCCGUCAACAGCCUCUCCGCGUCUAGCUUGCCUCAGUGCACCUUAGCACGGGCAAGGGCCCGACGGGCACCUUCAAUACAAACAGAGUGCUUGACGACCUCAAUCCACGGACACGCGUCCACCAUCCGCCGCACCAGACCGAAGUAGCUCCCAGGCAUGACUUCUCCAGGCCACAGCCGAGCUAUGAGGCCCUUCAUGGCCUGUUCGGCCACCUUGUGGAGCUCAACCAGCUGCUUCGGCUAGUCGCUCAGGGGCACCGGAUGUUCGGCCUCAGCAUACUGAGACCAGAACACUUUUUCCGUCGAGCUCCCCUCUUCGGCUCGGUAGUAUGCGGCGGCAUCAGACACACUACGGGGUAGAUCGGCGAACGCUCCUGGAGAGCUCCGGAUUCGGGUAAGUAGCAGAUAAUUAACUUUUAUAUUUUUGCUUUGCAUAAAGAAUGCCUUACCCGCCGCUAUCUUCUUCAUCGCCUCGAUCUCUUGAAGGGCCUUCUAGGCUUCGGCCUUAGCGGUCUUGGCACUCUCAAGAGCCAAGGCAAGCUCGGACUCUCGAGUCUUCGAGUCACGCUCCAAACUCUCGUGUUUUUCCACGAGAGCCUGGAGCUCUUGCCGCACCUCCGCCACCCGCGCCUCCUGCUUCUCUCGCUCGGCGCGCUCCAAGGCUGCACUCUUUUCGGCCUUGGAGACCGCCUCUUUCAGGGUUACCACCUCGGUCGUGGCUCCUGCAACAUUAACGUUGGUCCUGUUAUUAUUAUUAUGCAACCAAGUAUUUCUAUAUACAUUUACAGGAGGUACUACGUACCCUCUUUAUCCUCGAGCUGCCUCUUGGCACGGCCGAGCUCGCUCUUGGACCGCUCGAGGCUUUCCUUCAAGGCAUUGACCUCCGCAGUCAGUGCGGCAGAGGUCAGCAGCGCAGCCUGCAUUCCCAUAUUGACAUAUUUCUAUUAGACUCCUGCAUAUAUCUUUUAAGAUACUCAGUUCGACUUUUCUUUCCGAACACCGAACUAAGCAUCAGGGGCUACUGUCUAUGCGGUAACAUUUUUUAUAUAUGUUUUUGAACACAUACCUCAAAGCCCGUUAACAGGCUUGUGCAGGCUUCCGUCAGCCCGCUCUUGGCGGACUGAACCUUCUGAAUCACCGCACUCAUAACAGUGCGGUGUUCUUCGUUGAAAGAGGCGCCGUUGAGCGCCUCCAGCAAAUUGUCCGGCGCCUCCGGGUGGAUGGAAGUCGCUGGCGUCGCGGACUUGCCCUUCUUGUGAAGGCGCCGCCUGUCGGGCUCUGGAACCACUGAUGGUUCCGGAGCAGUGUCCGGCCCAGGGCCAUACUUAGAUCCCUCCGGGGUUUUACCCCCUUCGGGUUGGGAGUCCAGAAGGUCGCCUUGUGGCGCUUCCAGGACCACCUCCUCCUGGUUUUGUCCCCUACGGGACUCCACCUCCGUGCCGUUUGUAGGGAGAGGGGAGGAGGCCGUCGGAAGUGAAGCGCUAUUCACAUCCAACGAAUUCAGAGAUCCGCUCGACAAAUCGCCAAGCUGAGCUCUGGGCGGACUGUAUGAUUAGCUUCGGUGUUAGAAGAUAUCAAAUAAUAAAGGAGUGCAAUAAGUCAUUCGGGUAGCCGGACACUUACGAUUUUGCCAGGGGCUUGACCCUGGAAGGCCAGUCCUCCUCGCCGUCUUCGGCGUCGGGGGCGUAGUUCGGCAGAAGGGGCUUCCCCUUCUUGGACCCUCCGGCUUCCCCAGUUGGGGCGGCCUUUCUCUUCUUUCCUCCCCCGCUGGAGGGGGAGAGGCAUCUUCUUCUUCCUCCUCCUCAUCUUCGGAGGCGGAGGGCGCGUUGGAGCCGUCGGGCAAAUCCGACGACACCGGGCGCCGGGAACUCUUUCGGGUCCCCGUGGCCUUCUCCUUGGCCUUCUUCUCCGAUACCACAUGGGGUGCCGGAACCAGUAGCUUCGCUAAGUGUGCGUCUACUGGGCCUUCGGGCAAAGGGGCCGGACAAUCAAACUGUCCGGAUGUCCUCUUCCAAUCCUGUCAAAGGAACGGGAGUUUAGAUCCCACAUAAGGUCACACUAUGAAAUGCAGAUAUCCCGUAAGGGACUAAAGGUAAGCUUACUUCGGAGGCUUGACGUUUGGUGCAGAACCCGCGAUCCUCGGUGACGGGAGGGGAGACCUCGGAGCUUUUGAAAAGCACCUUCUAGGCGUCCUCGUGCUUCGUUUCAAAGAGCCGGGAUAGAGUCUGGUGCCGGGCCGGGUCGAACUCCCACAAAUUGAAGUCCCGUCGUUGACACGGGAGGAUCCGGUGGAAGAGCAUGACCUGUACCAUGUUGACAAGUUUGACCUUCUUGGCCACCAGGUCUCGGACGUAGGUUUGGAGUCCGAUCACCUCUUCUGGAUUGCCCCACGACAGGCCCGUCUCUUUCCAAGAUGUGAGCCGGGUGGGGAUGCCGGCUCGAAAUUCAGGGGCCGCUGCCCAUUUAGGGUCACGCGGCUCGGUAAUAUAAAACCACCCAGAUUGCCACCCUUUGAUGGUUUCCACGAAGGCACCCUCGAGCCAGGUGACGUUGGCUAUCUUGCCCACCAUGGUACCUCCGCAUUCCGCCUGUCGGGCUUGCACGACCUUCGGCUUGACGCUGAAGAUCUUCAGCCAUAGGCCAAAGUGGGGCUGGAUGUGGAAGAAGGCCUCGCACACGACGAUAAACGCCGAGAUAUUGAGGAUGAAGUUCGGGGCCAGGUCGUGGAAGUCCAGGCCGUAGUAGAACAUGAGCCCCCGGACGAACGGAUGAAGAGGAAAACCCAGUCCGCGGAGGAAAUGGGGAAGAAAGACAACCCUCUCAUGGGGCCUGGGGGUGGGGAUGAGUUGCCCCGCAUCUGGGAGCCGGUGCGCGAUGUCGUUACACAAGUAUCCGGCCUUCCUCAGGUUUUUGAUUUGUCCCUCUGUGACGGAGGAUACCAUCCAUCUAUCUCCCGCUCCUAACAUGGUUGGAGAAGGUUGAGGUGGGAAGUGCGGGCUUGGGUGCUGGAGCUCGAGCGCGCAGGGAGGGAUUAGCAGAGGAGGAAGAGCGCGUGAAUGGAAAGGGCGGAUUCUUAUCCCCUUAUAUGGGCGGCCAAAACUACGAGCCCCCACCGGCCUAAUAAAACUCGCUUAUCCCCCAAGCACCGCGGUUAAUGGCGUGGUUGGGUUACCCACACCUGUAUUGAUGAGAAUCCCGGCAUAAGGGGACACGAUCUCUGCUUUGACAAGACGUGCGAAGGAAACCGCCUCGCUAAACGCGCUGAGGUGGAACAAUAAAAUAAAUAAAGAGCCUGGCUGUGGCAUGAUGUCGCGCCACGGAAUGCGUCAGCAGAUCCGAUUGAUACAAAUAUUAUUCUCUCUACGAAGGAAUGUGGAACUUAUUUUGCAGAGCCGGACACUACCCUGGUGUUAAACAUCUUCUAUGAAAUAUUCGGAGGAGGAACCCGCCUUGCAAUGCCGAAGACAACUUGCGUGCCGGACUCGUCGUCAUUGAAGCCUAGUUCAGGGGCUACUGAGGGAGUCCUGGAUUAGGGGGUGUCCGGAUGGCCGGACUAAGACCUUUGGCCGUACUCCCGGACUACGAAGAUACAAGAUUGAAGACUCCGUCCCGUGUCCGGAUGGGACUUUCCUUGGCGUGGAAGGCAAGCUUGGCGAUACGAUAUGAAGAUCUCCUCCCAUUGUAACCGACUCUAUGUAAUCCUAGCCCUCUCCGGUGUCUAUAUAAACCGGAGAGUUUUAGUCCAUAGGACGAACAACAAUCGUACCAUAGGCUAGAUUCUAGGGUUUAGCCACUCCGAUCUCAUGGUAGAUCUACUCUUGUACUACCCAUAUCAUCAAUAUUAAUCAAGUAGGAGUAGGGUUUUACCUCCAUCGAGAGGGCACGAACCUGGGUAAAAACAUCGUGUCCCUUGUCUCCUGUUACCAUCCGCCUAGACGCACAGUUCGGGACCCCCUACCCGAGAUCCGCCGGUUUUGUAACCGACAAAGGGCUUCUACAUCAACACCAUAGCCUCUCCGAUGAAGUGUGAGUAGUUUACUUCAGACCUUCGGGUCCAUAGUUAUUAGCUAGAUGGCUUCUUCUCUCUGGAUCUCAAUACAAUGUUCUCCCCCUCUCUUGUGGAGAUCUAUUUGAUGUAAUCUUCUUUUUGCGGUGUGUUUGUUGAGACCGAUGAAUUGUGGGUUUAUGAUCCAGCUUAUCUAUGAACAAUAUUUGAUUCUUCUCUGAAUUCUUUUAUGUAUGAUUGAGUUAUCUUUACAAGUCUCUUCGAAUUAUCCGUUUGGUUUGGCCAACUAGAUUGGUAGUUCUUGCAAUGGGAGAAGUGUUUAGCUUUGGGUUCAAUCUUGCGGUGUCCUUACCAAGUGACAGAAAGGGUUGCAAGGCACGUAUUGUAUUGUUGCCAUCGAGGAUAACAAGAUGGGGUUUUAAUCAUAUUGCAUGAAUUUAUCCCUCUACAUCAUGUCAUCUUGCUUAAGGCGUUACUCUGUUUUACUUAAUACUCUAGAUGCAUGCUGGAUAGCGGUCGAUGAGUGGAGUAAUAGUAGUAGAUGCAGAAUCAUUUCGAUCUACUUGUCUUGGAUGUGAUGCCUAUAUACAUGAUCAUACCUAGAUAAUCUCAUAUUUAUUCGCUUUUCUAUCAAUUGCUCAACAGUAAUUUGUUCACCCACCGUAGAAUACUUAUGCUCUUGAGAGAAGCCACUAGUGAAAUCUAUGGCCCCCAGGUCUAUUCUCAUCAUAUCAAUCUCCACUACUUUAUUUACUUGCCUUGUUUUUACUUUGCCUUUUACUUUUUACUUUGCAUCUCUAUAUCAAAAAUACCAAAAAUAUUAUUUAUCAUCUCUAUCAGAUCUCACCCUCGUAAGUGACCAUGAAGGGAUUGACAACCCCUAAUUGCGUUGGUUGUGAGUAGCUAUCGUUUUGUGUAGGUACGAGGGACUCGUGCAUGAUCUCCUACUGGAUUGAUACCUUGGUUCUAAAAAACUGAGGGAAAUACUUACGCUACUUUACUGCAUCAUCCUCUCCUCUUCGGGGAAAUCCAACGCAGUGCUCAAGAGGUAGCAAGAAGAAUUUCUGGCGCCGUUGCCGGGGAGUUUGCGCAAAAGUCAACCAUACCAAGUACCCAUCACAAUCCCUAUCUCUCGCAUUACAUUAUUUGCCUCUUGUUUUCCUCUCCCCCACUUCACCCUUGCCGUUUUAUUCGCCCUCUCUUUCCCAAUCUCCUCCUCUCUUUCUCUUUUGCCUUUUUUUUCUCGUUUGCCUCUGCUUGUGUGUUGGAUUACUUGUUGCCAUGGCCGAAUCAAAAAAAACUAAGGGAUUUCUCCCAAGUUCUAGUGCCUUGGAUAACCUAUCUAUCCUUUCUAAGCUCAUAAACAAUGAUGCUACAGAGAGACCCACCGGGAUCACCAAUGAGAAUUUGGAUGAUUUUGAUGAUGAUGACUCCAGAAUCUUUCGCUAUUUACUUGAUGAAUCUUUAAAAGAUGCUUGGGAUAGGUUAUUAAGGAUUCGGGCUAGUUAUGUGCCACAAUAUCAAAUCGAUGUUUACUUAAGAAGUUUCUAUGUUGGCUUGCCCGCCUCUUUCAAACAAGUUCUAGAUUCUAUUUUUGAAGAAGGUUUUCUUGAAGGGGAUGCUAUAGAUACCUAUGAAAAAAUGAAAACCAUAUUUGGGCACCCUUUAAAUGAUAAAGUUGAAUCAACUACCCUCUUGUGCUUUUAUCAAAAUGAAAUUAUUAAAGAGAUGAAGUCUAGCUUGGAUGCAAAUGUCCGUAACGUGCUUAAUCACACCUCAUCCAUUAAUGGCAAUGUUCUUAAUCUGAAUAGAAGGAUGAAUGACUUAGAAAGAAGAUCUUCUUUUGCUACUUACACAUCCAGUGACAAGGAGGGCACUCGUUAGAUCUAUCUUCGCUUUUAUGCCUAGCUAGGGGCGUUAAACGAUAGCACUUGUUGGGAGGCAACCCAAUUUUAUUUUGUGUUCUUUGUUUUUGUUCCUGUUUAGUGUUAAAUUUUGUUUCUACUUUCUGUUUAGAUGUGGUUUUAUGUUUUAAUUAGUGUGUGUGCCAAGUGGAACCUCUAGGAUAAGCUAUGAUAAUAGUUGAUUUGAUUCUGCUGAAAAACAGAAACUUUGCACUCACGAGAAAAAAAUUCAAUAAAUCACAGGAACGUGAUUUUGCAUUGAUUCGUUUUUCUUAUGAUCAAUAAACAAAUUUUCCAGUACGUCCUAUUUUGGUAGAAUUUUUAGAGUUCCAGAAGUUUGCGUUGGUUACAGAUUGCUACAGACUGUUCUGUUUUUGACAGAUUCUGUUUUUCAUGUGUUGUUUGCUUAUUUCAAUGCAUCUAUGGCUAAUAAAUUAGUUUAUAAACCAUAAGGAAGUUGGAAUACAGUAGGUUUAACACCAAUAUAAAUAAAGAAUGAGUUCAUUACAGUACCUUGAAGUAGUCUUUUGUUUUCUUUCACUAACGGAGCUCACGAGAUUUCUAUUGAGUUUUGUGUUGUGAAGUUUUCAAGUUUUGGUUGAAUUCUUUUGAUGGAUUAUGGAACAAAGAGUGGCAAGAGCCUAAGCUUGGGGAUGCCCAUGGCACCCCCAAGAUAAUCCAAGGACACCAAAAAGUCAAAGCUUGGGGAUGCCCCGGAAGGCAUCCCCUCUUUCGUCUACUUCCAUCGGUAAUUUACUUGGAGCUAUAUUUUUAUUCACCAUAUGAUAUGUGUUUUGCUUGGAGUGUCUUUAUUAUUUGUGUCUUUGCUUGUUAGUUUUCCACAAUCAUCCUUGCUGUACACACCUUUUGAGAGAGUCAUACAUAAUUUAGAAUUUGCUAGAAUACUCAUUGUGCUUCACUUAUAUCUUUUGAGCUUGAUAGUUUUACUCAUUGUGCUUCACUUAUAUCUUUUGAGCUUGAUAGUUUUACUCAUUGUGCUUAACUAAUAUCUUUUGAGCGUAAUAAUUUUUGCUCUAGUGCUUCACUUAGAUCUUGUAGAGCACGGUGGUGGAUUUGUUUUAAAGAAACUAUUGAUCUCUCAUGCUUCACUUAGAUUAUUUUGAGAGUUGUUAAUAGCAUGGUAAUUUGCUUAAAGUUAAUAUACUUGGUAUUCAAGAUUUGUGAAACUUUCUUUUGAGUGUGUUGAAUACUAAGAUAAGUUUGAUGCUUGAUAAUUGUUUUGAGAUAUGGAGGUGAUAAUAUCAAAGCAAUGCUAGUUGGGGUGAUCAUGAAUUUAAAGAAUGCUUGUGUUGAAGUUUGUGAUUCCCGUAGCAUGCACGUAUGGUGAACCGCUUUGUGAUGAAGUCGGAGCACAAUUUUAUUUAUUGAUUGUCUUCCUUAUGAGUGGCAGUCGGGGACGAGUGAUGGUCUUUUCCUACCAAUCUAUCCCCCUAUGAGUAUGCGUUUAAUGCUUUGGUUUUUGAUGACUUCUAAAUUUUUGCAACAAGUGCAUGAUUUCUUUUGAUUAAUGUUGAGUCCAUGGAUUAUACGCACUCUCACCCUUCCACCAUUGCUAGCCUCUCUAAUAUCGCGUACCUUUCGCCGGUAUCAUACACCCACCAUAUACCUUCCUCAAAACAGCCACCAUACCUACCUAUCAUGGCAUUUCCAUAGCCAUUCCGAGAUAUAUUGCCAUGCAACUUUCCACCGUUCCAUUCAUAUGACACACAUUACUUUUGUCAUAUUGCUUUUUGCAUGAACAUGUAGUUGACAUUGUAUUUGUGGCAAACCCACCGUUCAUAAUUCUUUCAUACAUGUCGCUCUUGAUUCAUUGCAUAUCCCGGUACACCGCCGGAGGCAUUCAUAUAGAGUCAUAUUUUGUUCUAGUAUCGAGUUGUAAUUGUUGAGUUGUAAGAAAAAUAAAAAGUGUGAUGAUCAUCAUUAUUAGAGCAUUGUCCCAGUGAGAGAAGGAUGAUGGAGACUAUGAUUCCCCCAUAAGUCGGGAUGAGACUCCGGACUUUAUGAAAAAUAAAAGAGGCCAAAGAAGCCCAAAUAAAAAAAAGAGGCCAGAGAAGCCCACCAAAAGAAAGAAAAAAAGAAAAAAAAUAUGAGAGAAAAAGAGAGAAGGGACAAUGCUACUAUCCUUUUACCACACAUGUGCUUCAAAGUAGCACCAUGAUCUUCAUGAUAGAGAGUCUCAUAUGUUAUCACUUUCAUAUACUAGUGGGAAUUUUUCAUUAUAGAACUUGGCUUGUAUAUUCCAAUGAUGGGCUUCCUCAAAAGUGACCUAGGUCUUCGUGAGCAAGCAAGUUGGAUGCACACCCACUUAGUUUCUUUUGUUGAGUUUUCAUAUGCUUAUAGCUCUAGUGCAUCCGUUGUGUGGCAAUCCCUACUCACUCACAUUGAUAUCUAUUGAUGGGCAUCUCCAUAGCCCGUUGAUACGCCAAGUUGAUGUGAGAUUAUCUUCUCCCUUUUUUGUCUUCUCCACAACCACCAUUCUAUUCCACCUAUAGUGCUAUGUCCAUGGCUCACGCUCAUGUAUUGCGUGAAAAGUUGAAAAAGUUUGAGAUUUCUAAAGUAUGAAACAAUUACUUGGCUCGUCAUCGGGGUUGUGCAUGAUUAAAUACUUUGUGUGAUGAAGAUAGAGCAUAGCCAGACUAUAUGAUCUUGUAGGGAUAACUUUCUUUAACCAUGCUAUUUUGAGAAGACAUGAUUGCUUUGAUUAGUAUGCUUGAAGUAUUAUUACUUUUAUGUUAAUAUGAACUUUUGUCUUGAAUCUUUCGGAUCUGAAUAUUCAUGUCACAAUCAAGAAGAUUUACAUUCAAAUUAUGCCAAAGUAUCACUCCGCAUCAAAAAUUCUUUUUUUAUCAUUUACCUACUCGAGGACGAGCAGGAAUUAAGCUUGGGGAUGCUUGAUACGUCUCCAACGUAUCUAUAAUUUUUGAUUACUCCAUGCUACUUUGUCUACUGUUUUGGACUAUAUUGGGCUUUAUUUUCCACCUUUAUAUUAUUUUUGGGACUAACCUAUUAACCGGAGGCCCAGCCCAGAAUUGCUGUUUUUUGCCUAUUUUAGUAUUUCGAAGAAACGGAAUAUCGAAUGGAGUCCAAACGGAAUAAAACCUUCGGGAACGUGAUUUCCUCACCGAACGUGAUCCACAAGACUUGGACCCUACUCAAAGAAGUGCUAGAGGUGGUCACGAGGGUGGAGGGCGCACCCCCUUGGGCGCGCCCCCUACCUCAUGGGCCCCCUGUUGCUCCACCGACGUACUCCUUCCUCCUAUAUAUACCUAGGUACCCCCGUCAGAUCAUAACAGGAGCCAAAAACCUAAUUCCACCGCCGCAACCUUCUGUAUCCGCGAGAUCCCAUCUUGGGGCCUGUUCUAGAGCUCCAUCGGAGAGGGCAUCUACCACGGAGGGCUUCUACAUCAACACCAUAGCCUCUCCGAUGAAGUGUGAGUAGUUUACUUCAGACCUUCAGGUCCAUAGUUAUUAGCUAGAUGGCUUCUUCUCUCUUUUUGGAUCUCAAUACAAUGUUCUCCCCCUCUCUUGUGGAGAUCUAUUCGAUGUAAUCUUCUUUUUGCGGUGUGUUUGUUGAGACUGAUGAAUUGUGGGUUUAUGAUUUAGCUUAUCUAUGAACAAUAUUUGAUUCUUCUCUGAAUUCUUUUAUGUAUGAUUGAGUUAUCUUUACAAGUCUCUUCGAAUUAUCCGUUUGGUUUGGCCAACUAGAUUGGUAGUUUUGCAAUGGGAGAAGUGUUUAGCUUUGGGUUCAAUCUUGCGGUGUCCUUACCCAGUGAUAGAAAGGGUUGCAUGGCACGUAUUGUAUUGUUGCCAUCGAGGAUAACAAGAUGGGGUUUUAAUCAUAUUGCAUGAGUUUAUCCCUCUACAUCAUGUCAUCUUGCUUAUGGCGUUACUCUGUUUUACUUAAUACUCUAGAUGCAUGCUGGAUAGCGGUCGAUGAGUGGAGUAGUAGUAGUAGAUGCAGAAUCGUUUCGAUCUACUUGUCUUGGAUAUGAUGCCUAUAUACAUGAUCAUACCUAGAUAAUCUCAUAAUUAUUCACUUUUCUAUCAAUUGCUCAACAGUAAUUUGUUCAACCACCGUAGAAUACUUAUGCUCUUGAGAGAAGCCACUAAUGAAACCUAUGGUCCCCGGGUCUAUUCUCAUCAUAUCAAUCUCCACUACUUUAUUUACUUGCCUUGUUUUUACUUUGCCUUUUACUUUUUACUUUGCAUCUCUAUAUCAAAAAUACCAAAAAAUAUUAUUUAUCAUCUCUAUCAGAUCUCACCCUCGUAAGUGACUGUGAAGGGAUUGACAACCCCUAAUCGCGUUGGUUGCGAGUAGCUAUCGUUUAGUGUAGGUACGAGGGACUCGUGCGUGAUCUCCUACUGGAUUGAUACCUUGGUUCUCAAAAACUGAGGGAAAUACUUAUGCUACUUUACUGCAUCAUCCUCUCCUCUUCGGGGAAAUCCAACGCAGUGCUCAAGAGGUAGCAGCCACCAAAAACCAAUCGGGACCCUGUUCAUCAUCACGCCGCUCUCCAUGACGAGGAGGGAGUAGUUCACCCUCGGGGCUGAGGGUAUGUACCAAUAGCUAUGUGUUUGAUCUCUCUCUCUCUCUCUCUCUCUCUCUCGUGUUCUUGAUUUGACACGAUCUUGAUGUAUCGCGAGCUUGGCUAUUAUAGUUGGAUCUUAUGAUGUUUCUCCCCCUCUACUCUCUUGUAAUGGACUGAGUUUUCCCUUCGAAGUUAUCUUAUCGGAUUGAGUCUUUAAGGAUUUGAGAACACUUGAUGUAUGUCUUGCAUGUGCUUAUCUGUGGUGACAAUGAGUAUUCACGUGAUCUACUUGAUGUAUGUUUUGGUGAUCAACUUGCGGGUUCCGUAACCUCGUGAACUUAUGCAUAGGGGUUGGCACACGUUUUUGUCUUGACUCUUCGGUAGAAACUUUGGGCACUCUUUGAAGUUAUUUAUGUUGGUUGAAUAGAUGAAUCUGAGAUUGUGUGAUGCAUAUCGUAUAAUCAUACCCAUGGAUACUGGAGGUGACAUUGGAGUAUCUAGGUGACAUUAGGGUUUUGGUUGCUUUGUGUCUUAAGGUGUUAUUCUGGUACGAACUCUAUGAUAGAUCGAACGGAAAUAAUAGCUUCGUGUUAUUUUACUACAGACACUUUAAUAGGUCGAUCAGAAAGGAUAACUUUGAGGUGGUUUCAUACCCUACAAUAAUCUCUUCGUUUGUUCUCCACUAUUAGUGACUUUGGAGUGACUCUUUGUUGCAUGUUGAGGGAUAGUUAUAUGAUCCAAUUAUGUUAUUAUUGUUGAGAGAACUUGCACUAGUGAAAGUAUGAACCCUAGGCCUUGUUUCAUAGCAUUGCAAUGCCGUUUACGCUCACUUUUAUUGCUUGUUGCCUUUCUGUUUUUAUAAUUUCAGAUUACAAAAACCUAUAUCUACCAUCCAUAUUGCACUUGUAUCACCAUCUCUUCGCCGAACUAGUGCACCUAUACGAUUUACCAUUGUAUUGGGUGUGUUGGGGACACAAGAGACUCUUUGUUAUUUGAUUGCAGGGUUGUUUGAGAGAGACCAUCUUCAUCCUACACCUCCCAAGGAUUGAUAAACCUUAGGUCAUCCACUUGAGGAAAAUUUGCUACUGUCCUACAAACCUCUGCACUUAUAGGCCCAACAACGUCUACAAUAAGAAGGUUGCGUACUAGACAUCACUUACCCAUAAGGGUACGGUGUUCGUCAACAAUAGAAGCACUUCGCAGUGCUUCCAUUAGAGUGUCCGGCGCCUCUGGUUGGACAGAGGUCACCGGCGAAAUUGGCGCCUCCUCCUCUAAAAGGAGGCUGCUUGCCAGGUUCCAGUGCCACAUAGGUCUCUGGGACCGUAUUCGGCAGGGGGCUGAACUGAAUGUGGCCCCAACCACCAGUCUCCAUGGGGAUUUGCUCCCCCAUGUGUCCGGCGAUUGAGGUUUCGCCCUCCGGCACCGCCCUGGCGGCCUCCUGAGUCUCACCCUAGCCUAGGAUCCAUUCGGACAACACCUCGGUGUCAUCCAUGGCCUUGGGAGAGGAGGCCGUCGGGAGGGACCCGCUAUCCAUCGCCUGCGGGUCUAGCAAACCCACUGACGAUGAGGAUCGCUCGAGGCCGGACUAAAUCGGACUGCAAAUACACGAUUCAACAUGUUAAGACCAUGAAAUAGAGAGGCCGGGUAUAUGGAUGUGUCCGGGUUUCGGAGUACUUACGAUUCGGCAAGGGGCUUGUCUCAAGAGCGCCGCUUUGGGCUGCUAUCGACGUCCCAUGCAGAGUUAUCCGCGAGGGAACCCUUUCCCUUCUUGGACGCUUCGGCCUCCAGGCGCGUGGGGGCCGCCCUCUUCUUUCUUCCCCCUUGGGGAGGGCAUGGCUUUCUUCUUCCUCCUCUUCCUCGUCGUCCUCGGAGGCGGAGGAAUGAGUCUUGGCAUCUUCGAAUGUCAUGUCCGGAGCACCCUUGCAACGGAGAACGCUCCUGGUCUUCUUCAUCUUCUUGGCCUUCUUCUCCGGUGCUUUAUAGGGCGCCGGAACCAGCAUCUUCGUUAAAAGUUGAACUACUGGGUCUUCGGAUAACGGAGCCGGAUGAUAACCCACAAGUAUAGGGGAUCGCAAUAGUUUUCGAGGGUAGAGUAUUCAACCCAAAUUUAUUGAUUCGACACAAGGGGAGCCAAAGAAUAUUCUCAAGUAUUAGCAGCUGAGUUGUCAAUUCAACCACACCUAGAAACUUAGUAUCUGCAGCAAAUUGUUUAGUAGCAAAGUAAUAUGAUAGUGGUGGUAACGGUAACAAAAGUAAAGACAGCAAAAGUGAUGUUUUUGGUAUUUUUGUAGUGAUUGUAACAGUAGCAACGGAAAAGUAAAUAAGCAAGAACCAGUAUAAGGAAAACUCGUAGGCACCGGAUUAGUGAUGGAUAAUUAUGUCGGAUGUGGUUCGUCAUGUAACAGUCAUAACAUAGGGUGACACAGAACUAGCUCCAAUUCAUCAAUGUAAUGUAGGCAUGUAUUCCGAAUAUAGUCAUACAUGCUUAUGGAAAAGAACUUGCAUGACAUCUUUUGUCCUACCCUCCCGUGGCAGCGGGGUCCUAUUGGAAACUAAGGGAUAUUAAGGCCUCCUUUUAAUAGAGAACCGGAACACAAAGCUUUAGCACAUAGUGAAUACAUGAACUCAUUAAACUAUGGUCAUCACCGGGAGUGGUCCCGAUUAUUGUCACUUUGGGGUUACCGGAUCAUAACACAUAGUAGGUGACUAUAGACUUGCAAGAUAGGAUCAAGAACUCACAUAUAUUCAUGAAAACAUAAUAGGUUCAGAUCUGAAAUCAUGGCACUUGGGCCCUAGUGACAAGCAUUAAGCAUAGCAAAGUCAUAGCAACAUCAAUCUCAGAACAUAGUGGAUACUAGGGAUCAAAUCCUAACAAAGCUAACACGACUACGUGAUAAAUCUCAUCCAACCCAUCAACGUCCAGCAAGCCUACGAUGGAAUUACUCACGCACGGCGGUGAGCAUCAUGAAAUUGGUGAUGGAGGAUGGUUGAUGAUGACGACGGCGACGAAUCCCCCUCUCCGGAGCCCCGAACGAACUCCAGAUCAGCCCUCCCGAGAGAGAUUAGGGCUUGGCGGCGGCUCCGUAUCGUAAAACGCGAUGAUUUCUUCUCUCUGAUUUUUUUCUCCCCGAAAGCCAAUAUAUGGAGUUGGAGUUGGCGUCGGAGAGUCUCCAGGGUGCCCACGAGGUAGGGGUGCGCGCCCAGGGGGGGGGGGGCGCACCCCACCCUCGUGGACAGGGUGUGGGCCCCUGGUCUUCAUCUUUGGCGAUGAUUUUUUAUUAUUUAAUCUAAGAUAUUCCGUGGAGUUUCAGGUCAUUCCAAGAACUUUUAUUUUCUGCACAAAAAACAACAUCAUGGCAAUUCUGCUGAAAACAGCGUCAGUCCAGGUUAGUUCCAUUCAAAUCAUACAAGUUAGAGUCCAAAACAAGGGCAAAAGUGUUUGGAAAAGUAGAUACGACGGAGACGUAUCAACUCCCCCAAGCUUAAACCCUUGCUUGUCCUCAAGCAAUUCAGUUGACAAACUGAAAGAGAAAAAGAAAAACUUUUACAAACUCUGUUUUCUCUUGUUGUUGUAACUAUGUCAAGCCAGCAUUCAAGUUUUAGCAAAGAUCAUAACUAACCACAUUUGCAAUAACUCCUAGGUCUCAUGUCUACUCAUAUCAAUAACAUAAUCAACUAGCAAGCCAUAAUAAUAAAUCUCGGAUGACAACACUUUCUUAAAACAAUCAUAAUGUGAUAUAACAAGAUGGUAUCUCGCUAGCCCUUUCCGAGACCACAAAUCAUAAAUGCAGAGCACCUUCAAAGAUCAAGGACUGACUAGACAUUGUAAUUCAUGGUAAAAGAGAUCCAAUAAUUGUCAUACCCAAUAUAAAUUAACAGUAAUGAAUGCAAAUGACAGUUGUACUCUCCAGCUAGUGCUUUUAAUUAGAGGGUGAUGACUCAACAUAAAAGUAAAUAGAAAAGCCCUUCACAGAGGGAAGCGGGGAUUUGUAGAGGUGCCAGAGCUCGGUUUUGAAAUAGAGGUAAAUUAUAUUUUGAGCGGCAUACUUUCAUUGUCAACAUAACAACUAAGAGAUGACGAUAUCUUCCAUGCUAAACAAAUUAUAGGCGGUUCCCAAACAGAAUGGUAAAGUUUAUACUCCCCUCCUCCACAAGCAUCAAUCCAUGGCUUGCUCGAAACAAUGAGUGCCUCCAACAUUCAACGGGUCCCAGGGGGAGUUUUGUUUGCAAUUAUUUUGAUUUAGUUUGCAUAAAGCAUGGGACUGGGCAUCCCGGGGACCAGCCAUUUCUCGUGAAUGAGGAGCGGAGUCCACUCCUCUUGAGAAUAACCCGCCUAACACGGAAGAUAAGGGCAGCCCUAGUUGAUAUAUGAGCUAUUCGAGCAUGAAAAACACAAUGAUUAUUUGAAGGUUUAGAGUUUGGCACAUACAAAUUUACUUGGAACAGCAGGUAAAUACCGCAUAUAGGAAGGUAUAGUGGACUCAUAUGGAAUAACUUUGGGUUUUAAGGGAUUGGAUGCACAAGCAGUAAUCCCGCUUAGUACAAGUGAAGGUUAGCAAAAGACUAGGAAGCGACUAACUAGAGAGCGACAACAGUCAUGAACAUGCAUUAGAAUUAAUAAACAUUGAAUACAAGCAUGAGUAGGAUAUAAUCCACCAUGAACAUAAAUAUCGUGAAGGCUAUGUUGAAUUGUUUCAACUACAUGCGUGAACAUGUGCCAAGUCAAGUCACUCAAAUCAUUCAAAGGAGGAUACCACCCCAUCAUACCACAUCACAACCAUUUUAAUAGCAUGUUGGCAUGCAAGGUAAACCAUUAUAACUCAUAGCUAAUCAAGCAUGGUACGAUAAACUAUGAUCUCUAAUUGUCAUUGCAACAUGUUUAUUCAUAAUAAGCUGAAUCAAGAACGAUGGACUCAUCAUAUUUACAAAAACAAGAGAUGUCGAGUUCAUACCAGCUUUUCCAUCUCAGUCAAUCCAUCAUAUAUCAUCAUAAUUGCCUUUCACUUGCACGACCGAACGGUGUGAAUAAUAAUAAGAGUGAACGUGCAUUGGACUAAGCUGCAAUCUGCGAGCAUUCAAUAAACAGGAGAAGACAAGGCAAUAUGGGCUCUCGGUUAAAUUAACAAUGAUGCAUAUAAGAGCCACUUCAACAAUUUAAUCAUGGUCUUCUCCUACUGACCCCCAAAGAAAAGAAAAGAAAUAAAAACUAUUUACACGGGAAAGCUCCCAACAAGCAAAAGAAGAAUGGGAAAUAUUUUUGGGUUUUCCUUUUUAAUUACUACAGCAAAGAAAUAAACUACUACUAUUUUUUUGUUUUUCUUAAGGUUUAUUAAACACACAAGAAGAAGGAAAAAGAAAAUAAUCUAGCAUGGAUAUUACGGUGAAAGAGUAAGAGCACCGACAUCUAGCAAUGAGUGUGUGUGAACAUGAAUGUAAUGUCGGUGGGAAAUACGUACUCCCCCAAACUUAGGCUUUUGGCCUAAGUUGGUCUAUUGCCAGGGAUAACCUGGCGGAUACCCGUAGGUGAAGAUGGGGUCAUACUGCGAUGAAGAAGACUCUGACUGCCAAUGGUUGGCAACCACCUCUGGAUCCCAAGAAUAAACAGACUGUCGUGGAGGCUCAUCUCGUGGCUCCGGUUCUGGGGCUGGUGCAGGAUUUCGAUAGGCUUGAACGGCCGCCCACGGAACGAUGUGAGGACCUGCAGACAAGUUAAACAAAGAGGGAGCAGGCAAAGUAAUAGUCUCAGGGUGAUGUUUAUCAAAGUACAAUUUAUAUUUGAGCUCCCCUUCAUGACUCUUAACAAGAAAGUCAUGCGCUAGCAUACUCUUAUAAUCUAAAUAAGCAUGGGGCAACGAUGUUUCCUCUUUCUCCUCAUGCCUAAUAGGUAUUUCAAAAUAUUCAGCUAGGCGUGAAGCAUAAAUGCCUCCAAAGAUGGGGCCCUUAGUACGGUUCGGACUUAACCGUCUAGCAACAAUUCCACCCAUACUAAUAGAGUUAUUGCGGUAUAAAUCAUGGAACAAAAUGACAAUAUCAGGAACACUAAGGUUUCCACAGUUUCCACGACCAAUCAAGCAACGACUAGCAAAUAAGGCAAAGUAGCGUAAAACAGGAAAAUGCAUGCUAGUAAUCCUUGCAUCAAAAACCUUCCUGGUUUCUCCCACCGUGAUAGUGUUAAUAAAAGCUUCUACUUCGUUACGGUGUGGUUCAUCCAAGGUGCCCUCAAAGGGUAUUUUGCAAACCUCGCAAAAUUCAGCUAAUGGCAUCUCCUUAACAACGUCAUAUAAAUGAAACUCUAUUCAUGGAGGUGAUUUCUUAGGGAAAAAGUAGAAGUUUUGCACAAAAGUAUUUGUGAGUAAGAGAUUCUGAUGAUGUUGGUCGCGGAAGAAGUCGGUGAGGCCAGCAUUCUCAAUCAAUAAAUAGAAAUCCUCAUAAAUCCCGACUUUCCUCAAGAAGUCAUCGGAAGGCCAUUCACACGGCCGGACCUCCGCGAUGCAAGGCAAAUUAAAUUUGGGCUUCUGUUCUUCUUCCUAUUGUUUUUCCUUUGAGCUUCGACUCGACGAGCCCCUCAAAAGUCUCUUCAUUAUUUCUGAAAAAAUCUGAAAUUUUUAGUAACUUCAAAUAAAAGUGAACCAACUUCAAUAAAAUUGAUAUCAACUACUCCCACAAGUGCCUAGAGCCUAAAUCAAGCAUUAGAACUACUUGGGACCAUAUGAAUUUGACAUGCAAGCUCAAGAUCAUGGUCACCUAUGCAACAUAAAUUUGCAAUGAAUAGAGCACUAGAACAAAAACUAAUCGGACCAAUGGAGGAGUCACAUACCAAGGAACAAUCUCCCCAAACAGUUUUGCGAGAGGUGCUUUGAGCAAGGAGAUCGAAAAUCACAGCAACAGGGGCUGGAACUCGUGCUUGAGUUGGUUUUCCAUGUUUGUGUGAGGCAGAGGAAGAAGAUGGGUGCAGGGAUAAGUGGAGGAGGGCCACCGUGGGCCCACGAGGCAGGGGGGCGCGCCCAGGGGGGUAGGGUGCGCCCUCCACCCUCAUGGCCAGGUGGCAGCUCCCCCCGUGGUAAUUUUUGCACAGUAAAUGCUCAAAUAUUCCCGAAAAAAACAUAUUAAAUUGGCAUGGCAUUCUGUGGACUUUUAUUUUCAGGAUAUUUUUAUAUUGUACGGAUAAAUCAGGAAACAGACAGAAAAAAUACUACUUUACUUUAUUUCUACUAAAUAACAGAAAAUAUAAAGAGGGUACAGAAGGUUGUGCUUCUAGUUUCAUCCAUGUCAUGUUCAUAAAAAAGAAUCCACUAACAAGGUCGAUCAAGUCUUGUUAACAAACUCAUUCCGAUUAACAUGGAGCCGGAGAAAUUUCGAAUAACACUAUGUUACCUCAACGGGGAUAUGGACAUCCCCAAUAAUAAGUAUAUCAUAUUUCUUCUUGACAGCAGGGAGAGGAAAUUCAAAACCUCCAAAUAUAAUCGAUGGAAUUUUUUCAAUAGAGUUGAUACUAUAAACUUGAGAUUGUUUCCUCGAAAAGUGUACCGUAUGCUCGUUACCAUUAACAUGGAAAGUGACAUUGCCUUUGUUGCAAUCAAUAACAGCCCCUGCAAUAUUAAGGAAAGGUCUUCCAAGAAUAAUAGACAUACUAUCAUCCUCGGGAAUAUCAAGAAUAAUAAAGUCCAUUAAAAUAGUAACAUUUGCUACCACAACAGGCACAUCCUCACAAAUACCGACAGGUAUAGCAGUUGAUUUAUCAGCCAUUUGCAAAGAUAUUUCACUAUGUGUCAACUUAUUCAAGUCAAGUCUAUGAUAUAAAGAGAGAGGCAUAACACUAACACCGGCUCCAACAUCACAUAAGGCAGUUUUAACAUAAUUUCUCUUAAUGGAGCAUGGUAUAGUAGGUACUCCGGGAUCUCCAAGUUUCUUUGGUAUUCCACCCUUAAAAGUAUAAUUAGCAAGCAUGGUGGAAAUUUUAGCUUCUGGGAUCUUUCUUUUAUUAGUAAUGAUAUCCUUCAUAUACUUAGCAUAAGGAUUUGUUUUGAGCACAUCAGUUAAUCGCAUACGCAAAAAGAUAGGUCUAAUCAUUUCAGCAAAGCGCUCAAAAUCCUCAUCAUCCUUUUUCUUGGAUGGUUUUGGACGAAAAGGCAUGGGUUUCUGAACCCGUGGUUCCCUUUCUUUACCAAGUUUCCUAGCAACGAAGUCUCUUUUAUCAUAACAUUGAUUCUUUGAUUGUGGGUUAUCAAGAUCAAUAGCAGGUUCAACUUCUGCAUCAUUAUCAUUACUAGGUUGAGCAUCAUCAUGAACAUCAUCAUUAACAUUUUCACUAGGUUCAUGUUCAUUACCAAAUUGUGUUUCAGCAUCCGACAUAGAGAUAUCAUUUGGAUUCUCAGGUGGUUCAGCAAUAGGUUCACUAGAAGUUUGCGAAGUCCUAUCAUUUUUCUUUUUCUUCUUUUUUGAAGAACUAGGUACAUCGAUAUUAUUUCUCUAAGAAUCUUGCUCGAUUCUCUUAGGGUGGCCUUCAGGAUACAAAGGUUCCUGAGUCAUUCUACCAGUUCUAGUAGCUACUCUAACAGCAUAAUCAUUUUUCUUACUAUUCAUUUCAUCAAGCACUUCCUUUUGAGCUUUGAGUACUUGUUCUACUUGAGUGGUAACCAUAGAAGCAUGUUUGCUAACAAGUUUAAGUUCACCUCUAAUAGUAGCCAUAUAAUCACCCAAGCGUUUAAUCAUAUAAGUAUCUUGUUUUAAUUGUCUACCAAAAUAAGCAUUAAAGUCAUCUUGCUUAAACAUAAAGUUAUCAAACUCAUCCAAGCACUGACUAGCAAUUUUAGUAGGAGGGACUUCAGCUUUAUCAUAUCUAUAGAGAGAAUUUACCUUUACUACCUGUGUCGGGAUAUCGGGAUCAGGAGGUUCUUCAGUGAAUAAAGAAUUGAGAUCAUAUACUUCUUUAACAGGCGGUAAAUUAAGACCGUGUAUUUCUUCAAUAGGAGGUAAAUUCUUAACAUCUUCAGCUUUAAUACCUUUUUCUUUCAUAGACUUCUUUGCCUCUUGCAUAUCUUCGGGACCGAGAAAUAGAACACCUCUCUUCUUCGGAGUUGGUUUAGGAAUAGGCUCAGUAAUUGGCUCUGGAGCUGGCUCAGGAGGUGCCCAAUUAUUUUCAUUUAUCAACAUAUUAUUCAAUAGAAUUUCAGCUUCAUCCGGUGUUCUUUCCCUGAAAAGAGAACCAACACAACUAUCCAGGUAAUCUCUGGAAGCAUCGGUUAGUCCAUUAUAAAAGAUAUCAAGUAUUUCAGGUUUCUUAAGAGGAUGAUCAGCCAAAGCAUUAAGUAACUUGAGAAGCCUCCCCCAAACUUCUGGGAGACUCUCUUCUUUAAUUUGCAUGAAGUUGUAUAUUUCCCUCAAGGCAGCUUGUUUCUUAUGAGUAGGGAAAUAUUUAGCAGAGAAGUAAUAAAUCAUAUCCUGGGGACUACGCACACAACCAGGAUCAAGAGAAUUAAACCAUAUCUUAGCAUCACCCUUUAAUGAGAACAGAAAUAUUUUGAGUAUAUAAAAGUAGCACGAUCUCUCAUCAUUAGUAAACAGGGCGGCUAUAUCAUUUAACUUAGUAAGAUGUGCCACAACAGUUUCGGAUUCAUAGCCAUAAAAAGGAUCAGAUUCAACCAAAGUAAUUAUAUCUGGAUCAACAAAAAAUUCAUAAUAAUCCUUAUCGGGAACACAGAUAGGUGAAGUAGCAAAAGCAAGGUCGGGUUUGAUUCUAUCUCUAAGAGAUUCCUUACUCCAUUUAAUUAGCAGCCUCUUAAGUUCAUAUAUAUCUUGGUAGGCAAAAAUAGCUGCAUAAGAUUCCGCAUCAAAAAGAUAACCCUCAGGAAUAGCAGGCAUAUCUUCAUCAUCACUUUCAUCAUUGUAUUCAGAUUCAAUAAUUUCUCUUUCUCUAGACCUAGAAAUUUGCUCAUCUAGAAAUUCACCAAGGGGCACAGUAGUAUCAAGCAUAGAAGUAGUUUCAUCAUAAUUAUCAUGCAUAGCAGAAGUGGCAUCAUCAAUAACAUGCAACAUAUCGGAACGAAUAGCAGAAGUAGGUUUAGGUGUCGCUAGCUUACUCAUAACAGAAGGUGAAUCAAGUGCAGAGCUAGAUGGCAGUUCCUUACCUCCCCUCGUAGUUGAGGGAUAAAUUGUUGUCUUAGCGUCUUUCAAGUUCUUCAUAGUGUCCAACAGAUAUAAAUCCCAAGUGACUCAAAGAAUAGAGCUAUGCUCCCCAGCAACGGUGCUAGAAAAAGGUCUUGAUAACCCACAAGUAUAGGGGAUCGCAACAGUUUUCGAGGGUAGAGUAUUCAACCCAAAUUUAUUGAUUCGACACAAGGGGAGCCAAAGAAUAUUCUCAAGUAUUAGCAGCUGAGUUGUCAAUUCAACCACACCUGGAAACUUAGUAUCUGCAGCAAAGUGUUUAGUAGCAAAGUAAUAUGAUAGUGGUGGUAACGGUAACAAAAGUAAAGACAGUAAAAGUAAUGUUUUUGAUAUUUUGUAGUGAUUGUAGCAGUAGCAACCGAAAAGUAAAUAAGCGUAAUCCAGUAUAUGGAAAACUCGUAGGGACCGGAUCAGUGAUGGAUAAUUAUGCCGGAUGUGGUUCUCAUGUAACAGUUACAACAUAGGGUGACACAGAACUAGCUCCAGUUCAUCAAUGUAAUGUAGGCAUAUAUUCCGUAAAUAGUCAUACGUGCUUAUGGAAAAGAACUUGCAUGACAUCUUUUGUCCUACCCUCCCGUGGCAGCGGGGUCCUAUUGGAAACUAAGGGAUAUUAAGGCCUCCUUUUAAUAGAGAACCGGAACAAAGCAUUAGCACAUAGUGAAUACAUGAACUCCUCAAACUAUGGUCAUCACCGGGAGUGGUCCCGAUUAUUGUCACUCCGGGGUUGCCGGAUCAUAACACAUAGUAGGUGACUAUAGACUUGCAAGAUAGGAUCAAGAACUCACAUAUAUUCAUGAAAACAUAAUAGGUUCAGAUAUGAAAUCAUGGCACUUGGGCCCUAGUGACAAGCAUUAAGCAUAGCAAAGUCAUAGCAACAUCAAUCUCAGAACAUAGUGGAUACUAGGGAUCAAACCCUAACAAAGCUAACUUGAUUACAUGAUAAAUCUCAUCCAACCCAUCACCGUCCAGCAAGCCUAUGAUGGAAUUACUCACGCACGGCGGUGAGCAUCAUGAAAUUGGUGAUGGAGGAUGGUUGAUGAUGACGACGACGACGAAUCCCCCUCUCCGGAGCCCCGAAUGGACUCCAGAUCAGCCCUCCCGAGAGAGAUUAGGGCUUGGCGGCGGCUCCGUAUCGUAAAACGCGAUGAUUUCUUAUCUCUGAUUUUUUUCUCCCCGAAAGCCAAUAUAUGGAGUUGGAGUUGGCGUCGGAGGGUCUCCAGGGGGCCCACGAGGUAGGGGGCGCGCCCCCACCCUCGUGGACAGGGUGUGGGCCCCCUGGUCUUCAUCUUUGGCGAGGAUUUUUUUAUUAUUUAAUCUAAGAUAUUCCGUGGAGUUUCAGGUCAUUCCGAGAACUUUUAUUUUCGGCACAAAAAAAAACA